CUAACUAAUUCAUCGCUUGCCCGGGAGACCCGCGCAUUACUCAAAAUAUAUAUUUUUUUAGAGAAAGAUAGCAUACUACCGACUUCGUUUAUUUCAUUUAGAAAUAAACUUAGCUGAAAAUGUGAAUCAACUAGGAUUCGAACUUGGGUCUCGAAUACCAACCACGAAACCCUUUUGUCACUUACGCUAGGACGGUUGAUGCAUUACUCAAAAUGUUAUAAAUAUUACCUUGGACCUAGCAUCGUGAAUAAUGCUUCCAUUAUUUACGCAUGCCCUACGUGACAAAUAUCGUAGCUAGCUUAACAUUGAAUUUUGUUUGUGGAAAAAAUCUAUAUCCUAGCCUAAGUUUGACUAAACAUGCAUGCCAAUUGGUCCCUGAAUUGUGGGAAAUCAAUUCAUUUAUAGCGUUCAUCUCCCCCCACCACACUUCUAAAGUUAAUUACUGACGUAGAACGUGUAAUAACUUUGCAACGUACAAGAUCCUAUCAUUUGAUAGCGAGACACAUCGUGUGUAAACUGUAAACCACUUUGGUUCUCCCUCUCGUUGAUGCAAUUCAUUUUACCCUCUCCACAAGUUACUUAAUUUACGGCCAGUUGUAGCUUUCUCUCUCUCUCUCAACCGUGAUGUGUAUAUAUGACAAGAGAAUAUUAUAAAGAAGAAAAAUAAAAUAUCAUGUAAAAAUCUAUAUCAACUAUUUAAUGUUGUAUGAGUAAUUAAUUACAAUCGUGUUGCAUACUUAUCAGCGCGACCACAUCCCAGACUUAUGGACAUGGUCCACAUGGACUUCCGUUUGGGUCACCCUCAACGUCACAUGCUUCUCUUCGAAUAUUCUUUAAUUUGGGUCCACCUGUUUAAUAAAGAGCACCAUGUGUACACAGAUAACACAUCUAAACUAGUUAGGGCUACGAAUAAAGCCACAUUUUUUUAAUAUUAAAGUAUAUAACAAAAGGCUCGGAAUUUUCGCUAGACCUAAAAUUAGGAGUUUAAAUAAAACUCUAUUUAUACUAUAAAAAAGAACUAUUUAAACAAGAAAAAACUUCAAAUACUGCUCUUAUGGUUUCGCAUUUUUUAUUUUAGUAUGUACCAUAUGGUUUAAAGUGUAUCAAUUUAGUACCAUAUAGUUUUAUUUUUCUCUUUUUAUCAUUCCAUCCACUAAUUUUUUUCAUUAAAUUACUGACAAAGUUAAAACUAAAAACGUACUAAAGUGAAUAUUCGAUAAAUCUAGCUAGGUGGGAUAUCUGAAGUUUUUUAUAUAAUAAUUUAACGAAAUGUCAACGGAGGAGCCGACGAAAAGAGAAAUGGAGGAGCUGAGAAAAAGAGAAAAAUAAAAUUACUGGAUACUAAGUUGAUACAUUUUAAACCACAGAAUAUUAAAAUAAAAAAAAUAUGAAACUAUAGGGAUGGGAUUUGAAGUUUGCCCUUUAAAAAAUGAGCAUUCAUUGUUCGGUGUUGUAAUUCUACACCCCUCUAUGAAAGCUUAUUUUUUUUCCCUAUAUAUAAGUCUUAUUAUUAUUAUUAUUAUUUAACUAAAAAUAAAAAGUGAUUAGUAAAUUAAUAUUAUAAUUCUUGGAUAAAUAGGUUAUGAAGAUUAUGAUCUUUUCUUACUAUAAAUUAAGUAUUUCUCUAAGAAAUAGUGCGACGUAUCUCCUAACAUGCGUGCUUCAACCAACAUGUGCGCAUUUUUAUUAGCCAAUAAAUGCAAUAUUUGUAUGUAUAAAGGUACUUGCGUUGUAAUAUUUCUCUGGCAAAAGGCGUUGCACGCACGAUCUAUCACGUGCACGCUAGUCCGAGCCAUGCAAUAUGCGAGUUCGCGUCCUCCGAUGGUGCGUCCUAAAUAUAAUCAUCGAUAAUCAAUAAUCAAUAAUCAAUAACUACUAUUAAUUAAUUAAUUAAUUAGAGGGACCAAAUAAAAGCCGCGGAUUAUUAAUACUUUGACUACAAUAGUCAAUAUGAAUCAUGUAAACUAUACCCUCGUGAUUCUCGUGAUUCAUGUAACAUUUUUUGUUAUUUAUUUGUAUAUAUUAUUCGGUCCAAUUAUUCCUUAACUAUUUGCUUUUGAUUUAGUAUUUUAAACUUUUGUUGAAAAAUCAGCCAAACUCUAAUGGUUGAUGAAAAAGUUGGUUUAUGACAUGAGUUAGGCACAUAUGAUUAUUAGUUAGGCGUGUAAGCGAACAUGAAGACAUUGAAUCAUAUAUACAUCUUGCCUCUUUAAUUAUAUAUUUUAAUAAGUAAAAAAGGGAUUAAUGAAAUGUUAUUUACUUACUGUACCAUAUUCCACACAUAUUCUCUUUAACAUUUUCUUUAUUGCUUAUGGUAUAUAAUUAAACCAUAUAUGUCAUAUCUUAGCUUAUUUAAUUGUAUUUAUAGUCAGGAAAACCUAUAUACUAUUUUGCCUAGUCAACAGAUCAUGAUCAGAUCUCAUACUUAUAUAUAAAAAAAAAGUUAAUGAUUGCACUUCUUUGGAGAAUUCAUAUAACAAAUAGAAAAUUUUGAACCUAUAAAAUAUUAUUCAACUUCCUUACCCAAAUACGUUUUUAGACGCUAAAAGAGCGUGCAACCUAAGCAUCGCAUAUUCUCUGUCACAUCUCUCAUUAAUUUAUAUAUAUAAUAAAACUAUAUAUAUAUAUAUAUAUNUAUCCGGAGUUGCGGCAGGUGCAGCAGCAGGAGGUGGUGCCGCAUGCCUAUUUACGAGGAGUGGAGAUAAUGCCUUGACCACGAUGCUCAUAUUGGGCCGGAACUCGGCUUCGUAUUGAACACAGAGAGCUGCCACUGCAGCAAGCUGCACAGAACAAAAUAUGAGAUAUAUGUGCCUCUAUUUUUGUUUUGAGAGAGAGAGAGAGAGCGAGAAUGGUAGCAUGCAUGAUAUCGCUUCUUUUAUUUUAUUUUUAAAAAAAAACUUAACUAAAAAUAUGAAACAACUAGGUUUCGAAUUUAGGACCCCGAAUAUUGACCAUCAAAUCCUUAAUUUGCCAUUUGCACUGAGAACGAUUAAUUAGUGAAUAUUGUAUAUAUAAUUGUCAAUGCAUAAAUCCACAUAUUUUUAAAUAGAAGAGCCAACAUCAAAAUAGGUGAGAUAUAUUAAAUUUGGUCUAGUGUACUAAAUAAAUACUUAAUAUAUUUGUUCCGAGAAUAAUAAUAAUAAAUGCUCCAGUCCAUGAAGAUAUUAUGGUAUUUUAACUAAAAGUUAUUAGGCAACGAAUUUAAUCAGUGAAAUUAUUGCACGUUUAAUGAGGAUUAUUAGAUAAACCAUCAAUAUAUUGAGAGAAAAUAUUAUGUUGAUGGUAUAAAUAUAAGGCUCAUGUCUCACGUGAAAGAGCAUCGAUCGUGGCCGUACGCGGAGCCUUAGCUUGACGUGGCAUGCUUAGAUAUUGACAGCUAGCAAACAUGAACCACGCUGUUUGACCUUAAUCACAAGUUUCUUUUUCACAAAAAUAAAUACAAAAUGUAUAUUAAAAAAAGCAUAACUACCACAAUGCAUAUUUCAGUUUCCUGCAUCAUUGAUAGAAAAUUUUGGUCAUUUCACACAACCCUUCGUUCAAAACGUUUCACCCACCACAUCCGUACGGACCGAUAAUUAAUUCCCCGGUUUCUAAGUUUCUUUUAUUUCUUUUUGUCAAAAAAAGAAAUUAAUUGCACCUAUAUAGAUAUAUGUAUACAUUCAAAAUGUCUGAUUUUUAAAAUUUUUUAUAAGUUGAAGUUUCAUCAUUCGACUUGUAGUUCCGAACAGAAAAUUUUGAACUAUACGUGGCUACUAUAAUUUUUUAAAACUAUUAUCCUUUUUAAUUUCGUACAGAUCGAUUAAUUGCAUUAAUCCAAUAUUUAGGGACGAAUAAGAUCUGCUUAACUAUUAAUUAUAAGUUUAACUAGGAUUCCAAUCUAGAAUUUAAUUCGGGGCACAUCUAGCUGUUUGGAGGUUGGGGGAUUCUGAUUCCAAUCCUACAGUUAACAAAAUAUCGCUUGAAGCUAAAUAUAAUAUUUUUUGUUGGUGUUAAUAAAUAUUAAAUGGGUUUCCCAUCGUUGUACCCUAAACAAUGGAUACUCGCAAUCCACGCGGUCAUUUUUAUUUUAUCAAUCUAAUAGUUACCAUGAGCGCAUUUGUCAAACUUAGGCAAUCUCUUUCUCAGGUGACCCCACACCACAAUUCCCACGCCAUUGAUUAGUUGCUUUUAAGUUGCUCUAUAAAAAGGGCUAGAUCCCUUGGCUCUCCAUGGUCUCUCAAUAUACGAGUAUCUCGCUACUUUAAUUCCUUGGUUCGAUCUGGUUGAGCUCCUUGGACUGGUUUUUUACUGCUCGAGCCGGUUUCGCCAAGUUUGNAAUAUAUUGAGAGAAAAUAUUAUGUUUUUUUUUUUUUUUUGAGAAAAGGUAGCAAAGCUAUCUGCUUCAUCCAUUAGGAGAGAAAAUAUUAUGUUGAUGGUAUAAAUAUAAGGCUCAUGUCUCACGUGAAAGAGCAUCGAUCGUGGCCGUACGCGGAGCCUUAGCUUGACGUGGCAUGCUUAGAUAUUGACAGCUAGCAAACAUGAAUCACGCUGUUUGACCUUAAUCACAACUUUCUUUUUUCACAAAAACAAAUACAAAAUGUAUAUUAAAAAAAGCAUAACUACCACAUGCAUAUUUCAGUUUCCUGCAUCAUUGAUAGAAAAUUUUGGUCAUUUCACACAACCCUUCGUUCAAAACGUUUCACCCACCGCACGCGUACGGACCGAUAAUUAAUUCCCCGGUUUCUAAGUUUCUUUUAUUUCUUUUUGUCAAAAAAAGAAAUUAAUUAAUUGCACCUAUAUAGAUAUAUGUAUACAUUCAAAAUGUCGAUUUUUAAAAUUUUUUAUAAGUUGAAGUUUCAUCAUUCGACUUGUAGUUCCGAACAGAAAAUUUUGAACUAUAUGUGGCUACUAUAAUUUUUUAAAAAUUAUAAUCCUUUUUAAUUUCGUACAAAUUAAUUGCAUUAAUCCAAUAUUUAGGGACGAAUAAGAUCUGCUUAACUAUUAAUUAUAAGUUUAACUAGGAUUCCAAUCUAGAAUUUAAUUUGGGCAUAUCUAGCUGUUUGGUGGUUGGGGGAUUCUGAUUCCAAUCCUACAUUUCUGAUUCCAAUCCUACAGUUACAAAAUAUCGCCUACAUUGAAGCUAAAUAUAUUAUUUUUUAUUGGUGUUAAUUAAUAAAUAUUAAAUGGGGUUCCCAUCGUUGUAGCCUAAACAAUGGAUACUCGCAAUCCACGCGUCAUUUUUUAUUUUAUCAAUCUAAUAGUUACCAUGCGCGCAUUUGUCAAACUUAGGCAAUCUCUUUCUCAGGUGACCCCACACCACAAUUCCCACGCCAUUGAUUAGUUGCUUUUAAGUUACUCUAUAAAAACGGGCUAGAUCCCUUGGCUCUCCAUGGUCUCUCCAUAUACGAGUAUCUCGCUACUUUAAUUCCUUGGUUCGAUCUGGUUGAGCUCCUUGGACUGGUUUUUUACUGCUCGAGCCGGUUUCGCCAAGUUUGCUGCGUCAAAGGUAAGGAAAAAAGUGAUUCUGCUUUUCAUUGGCUAUUUUCUUAUAUUUUUUUGUAUUUAAAAGAAUAAAUUAGACUAUAUAUGUAAUUGUAUUACUCUCAUUAAUUUAAACAAAGCUAUAUGUAAUUAAUUGAAUAUGUGUUUGAAUACAUAUUUUAGAUUUUAUAUAAUUGAGUAUUGUUCCUGUUUACCCUCAAGAGCNGUGUGUGUGUGUGUGUGUGUGUGUGUUAUAUUAUUAAAUUAUAAUUUAAAGUAAAAAAAUUAAAACAAAAGGUAGUGCACCAUGUGCACCCAAAAAAAUCCCCUGCUCCCUGGUGCCACGCGGCGCCCAUAGGGGGCAUCCCCAAAUUGUUUUUUAUGGACAUAUUGUUCAUAUACAAUUUUUGCCCGCUAGUGGGGGCGGCUGGGAGCGAGGGAGGUUGGAAUUAAUUAGCUUUUAUUAUGAUAUCUACGUAUUCAUCUCAUUUGAUUUCAUUCUCAUGGCAUAGAAUUUGUUAUUAAGAAAAUUAUUAUUUGUCGUAGUUAAUUUUUUGAAAUAAAAAUUUUUUAGAUAUAUAUAAAAACUAUGAGAUAUGAUCUAUUAAGUUAAAAUAUUGAUUGAUAGGUUAACAUAUUUAAUUCUAAUAACUUUUUUCUUUAUCAUUGAUUGGGAUUAUGGAAUUUCACAAUUAUAAUCUUUUACAAAUAAAUAUUUAAAGCUGGUCGGGUCGUAGAUGAGUUCCGAUUUGAAGUUUAUAUUUUUUUUCAAUUUGAAGUUUUCUACAUUUGAAAAAGUAUAGGCUGAAUCGUAUCUGACGUGGUGCACCUGUCUAGGUCUAGGUCUUAUUCGUUGUCACNAACGGUCCAUUCACUAGUCUAGAUUGAACGGUUCUGAUUCACGCGAAGCCACUUCAUCACGUAACCGCGUUUUGCGCGCGGGCCGUUUCCAUGCAAACCACGCAGAUUUGGCCACGCCACCAAUCCCCAAAUGGGUGGGGCCCACCAGUCGGCAGAGUGGGGCCCCACCGAGAGCACGUGCUACUGUCCUGUGGAUGGGCGCCACGCGACGUGGCAGCUCAGUCGGUAUGGUCUUAGUCUCAAUUAUUUGAGUGCCACGCGAGCAUCGAGGCGGACUCGUAAUAUUACCGUCCUUUCAUUUCCGUCGCUUCGCGUAAAUAUUCUAUAGGCGCGGCGCUAGUGGGGGCGGCUGGGAGCGAGGGAGGUUGGAAACUUGGAAUUAAUUGGCUUAACUGCUACUCCGCCCGCAAGCGAUUUACGUCCACGUCACCCGUGAACCACCCAACCUUUCUCACCCCAACUCUUUUUGUAGGAAAACACACAACACCGUAAACUUCUUAGAUCAUUAUUGAAUUUCAGGAUUAGUUUUUAUUAUGAAAUCUACAUAUUCAUCUUAUUUGAUUCCAUUCUCAUGGCUUAGAAUUUGUUAUUAAGAAAAUUAUUAUUUGUCGUAGUUAAUUUUUUAAAAUAAAAAUUUUUUAGAUAUAUAUAAAAACUAUGAGAUAUGAUCUAUUAGUUAAAAUAUUGAUUGAUAAGUUAACACAUUUAAUUUUAAUAACUUUUUUCUCUAUCAUUGAUUGGGAUUAUGGGGUUUCACAAUUAUAAUCUUUUACAAAUAACUACUUAAAGCUGGUCCGUUCGUAGAUGAGUUCCGAUUUGAGGUCCAUAUUAUUUUCAAUUUGAAGUUUUCUACAUUUGAAAAAGUAUAGGCUGAAUCGUAUCUGACGUGGUGCACCUGUCUAGGUCUAGGUCUUAUUCGUUGUCACUUAGUGUCCCUUAUGUGACGUUGUUUCCUGUGCCAUACCAGUGGAGGGUAUAUAUGAACCGUCGAAUUCACGAGCAACAACCCAAUAGUAGCGGGAGUAGAUACGUUGGAAUCUGAUGGUACCCUCUUAUUAUAAAAUACAAUAAUAAUAACAACAUACUCAUGCAUAUAUAAUAAUAAUAACAAUAUACGUUGGAGUCUGAUUUACUUUGUUAAUUUAAUUAACAUUUGAUCUACCUCCUCAAAGAAACCAAAAGAAAAAACACCAUUAGUUCUAUAGAUUAAUUAGUCCUUCAAUUAUAUGGACCCUCUGUGGCUUAGCCGUGAUUACACUACGUUACCACGCACGUUUGCGUUUCGUAUAAUUGGACAUACUUGGUGUAUGGAAAUGCAAAUCCAAUAAUUCCAAGGACUUGGAAUUCUUUUUCUUUUUCCCUUCUCUUUCUGAUACUACUAUUUUGUGAGAUUUUAGUUGGUUUAGAAAGAAGUGAUGUGGUUGGUCCAAAAUUGUCUGGUAGAUAUAUGGCGAAUUCUUUAAGCCCCAAGUUUUUCCAAUCAUAUUUUAUUUUGAUUUAUGCAGGAAUUAAGUUAAAAUUAUUUUUAAUUUCAUUAAAAAUAUUUAUAGUCUUGUUAUUAUUUAGCCAUUAGCAUAAAUAUAUCUUUUAUUCUAUGAAUUGGUACAGCGAAAAAGAGAGACCGUGCAUCACAUUUUGAGUGUUUUGAUUUUUUUUUAUUUUUUUUGAGAAAGAUACCCUUUUAUACUAUUUUUUUACGGUAAUAUAUAAAAAUCUUGCUCUUUGUUUGUUUAUAUAUCAACGUACAUCAAUGGCUGAAUCAUGCAGAGUAUUUGUAUGUUUUAUUUUUUUUCUCUGUUUCUUAAUUCACCUUUAGAUUUUCGCAUCCAAUGAAAUAAAUUUUUUUAGCUUUUGUCAUAACUUGGUUAAUAUCACAUGAAUUCUAAUAGAAUUUGGUGAAAAUUUAUUUUAUGUACUUAAUUAAAUGUGAUAAAGGCGUUUCUCUCGUGACUUGUCUAAUUCUAGCCCGCAUAAUUCAACCUAAAAGUGCAUUCAUUUAUAGACUAUAUAUUUUGCUUGCUUCUUCCCCACCAAUUUUCUUUUUUAAACAUAUUAUUUUGUCUCCGAGGAAAAGUCCAACCUCUUCUUAUCCUUGGAAUUAUGGAGAAAUAUAUGGUUCAUGUCAAAUUUUUUACCUUAGCUAAUUAGUACCCACCACUUGUUUUUAUAAUAACGAAUAUUUUUCCUUUUCAGUUAAUCAACAUCAGGACUUCUCUUCUGCCACGUAAAUACCCAACUGCAUGUGAUUCCUUUGACUUUGUUUAUUUUGUUUUAUGGAAAAUUGAAAUGCAACAAAUUUACCAGCGUUACUUCUUGUGUUUUACUAGCUAUUUUUCUAAUAUUGCAAUGCUCUGUGACCAUUCACGAGAGAAGAGAAAUUAGUGGCCGUAUAACCUAGCUCCAAUUAAUAUAUGCCUUUUUUGGCAUAUAUCCUCGAGAAUAAGUUGUCAUCAUUUAUCCAUUAUAUAUAUAUAUACACGUAUAAUUUAUGAUAUAAACGGAAACUAGGCAAGCUUUAUAUUUAAAUGAGAAUUAAGUCAUUUUCAGAAAUUUAAAAAAAAACGUGUUUGAGUUGUUAAAAUAAAACAGUAGAAACAAGUGUAGUUAUAAAUUUAAAAUACUUUACCUAGUUAAUUAAUAUCAAAAUAUGAAUUGAAUAAAAUUUUAAUAAGUUAAUUAAUUAAUUAUGCAAAACAACUUAAUGGGGGUGGAACAAUUGUUUCCACCCCUUAAUGUCCAAGAAAAAUCCAUUAAGGAGGGAACAAGAGUUUCACCCUUUUGUCUGGAUAUAUAUAAAAGAAUAAAGGCUUAUUUUCUCACUUAUAUCCAAACCAAACAGGCUUUCGUAAAUUAAGAUGUUUUUCUUUAUCUUCACUAUGUAAAAAGAGAAAAUUCACGGUGUAGGUCAAAUAAUCUCUAAAUCUCCUCUAUUUCUGUUUCUACAAUUUUGCAAUUCCAAAUAUAACAUAUUAGAACUCCCUACCAACUAAUUAACUUAAAGUUUUUAGAGAGAAAUGUCUCACGCGUUGCUUUUCAUUUUCUUUUCAUGACACAAGCAACUUAAGUUAUUUGACUAGCUAGUUAUUAAUUACCUUCAAAUAAUCAUCUGAUGUAGUUAAAUUUAUUAUCAACAUAAAGAGCUAGAAGAAUUUUCUAUCAUAUCGAACUUGGAUGAAAAGUUUAUCUCAUCACAGACAUUUGAACGGUGGAGUAGAAGCAGUAGAUUGGAAACUUACAAGCGUACGGAACCUAAUAAUUCAAUAGAGGUCGUACGCCUCUUUCAAAUGGCUUAAAUAACUUCAUAAUUGUACAAUAUUUUUAUAUCAUCUACAACUAGUUGCCAGUUGGCAUUAAUUAAUAAAAAAAGAAAAAACUUCAAAUACCACCCUCGUCGUUUUGUAUUUUCUUACUUUAAUACCUGUGGUUUAAAGUGUAUCAAUUUCGUANUUUUUUUUUUGUUAUUCCUUUAACUAAUUUUUUUAUUAAAUAAGUGAUAAAGUUAAAACUAAAAGGUACUAAAGUAAAUAUUCGAUAAACUAUAGAUGGGUAUAUGAAAUUUUGUAUAUGAUUUAACGAAAAAUUAAUAGAUGAGCUGAUGAAAAGAGAAAAAUAAAAUCACAGGAUACUAAAUUAAUUAAUACACUUUAAACCAAAAAAUGCGAAACCACAGAGAUGAUAUUUGAAAUUUACCAAAAAAAAAAAAAAAAGUACUGGUACACUCAGAUUGUUGCGUCAUUAGCAUAUAGUCAUAAUUAUGAAAAAAUAACACCAAACAUGCAAAUCUCAAACGUAAAAGUCCCAAUAUUUUAAGAAAUUUAAUAUAUUCAGAGUAAAUUCUACUAUUAUCAAAGUAAAGAGAUUCGGAUCAUAAUUGGAUACAACAUAUAUAUUAAUUUGCUUUGGCAAUAUUAAAAAUUACCCAAAAUAUAUCAAUUCUCAUGUUUUAAACAUUGGGGAACAUAUGCAUAUAUAGGCAUGCAGUGAAUAGCACUCAACAUCUAUUCUAAUUGUGAAUUAACUAAUUGAGAAAAACGUUCUUUUCCAAUACCGAAAAAGCAUCGGCAGUUCUUAUCCCUUGCGUUCCUCAUUUUGGCUCUUUGUGAAACAACCGUUGUACUCUAAAAGCUUAACCUAUUAGAGAACGGUCUGGGCUCGAGACUUUUUAAUCGGCUCAUGACGUGGGCUUGAAUUAAAUGGGGGAAAAUUGAUAUGCUAGAAGCCUGGCGUGACUCGAACUCAGAACCUCCUGCUCUGAUACCAUGUGAAACAACCGUUGUACUCUAAAAACUUAAGCUGUUAGAGAACGAUAUUUAAACAUUUUUAUAUUUAACACUCUUCGUAUUACGCAAGUGUAUAUAUCAUUAACAAAGCCGUUUUAAUUUGUUGUGGAGCCAAUUUGUCCCCAGGCCCCGACUUAUUCCGAUCCGAAUAAAGUUAUUAGUUAUUGCCCCAUCCUUAUUCCGGAAAGAAAGGUAUUAAAUCCCCCGGAUUUUUUUUAAUUGCCGAAAUUAACGCUUUCCUAAGAUCAUAUUAUUGCUAAAAAGUCCACUAUAAUCCUAAAGGGUAUUUUGGUAAAUAUCGGCUCCGAGAUUAGUGCGAACAAGAUACCGCUUUUGUGCACGCAUAAAACUGGUAGCUAGAGCGGGGAAUCUAAAAUCCCGGGGAUCCGGUCACCUCCUAGUGCGGGGCCCGCAGGGGUUGUGAAUCUUCCCAUUGGUCCACGUGGCUCUCCCUAGCUGGCGAGGCCGUAACGUUUCCCCGAGCGAACGCUGCGGUGACGGUUAUUUUAUUUUAUUUUAUUUUUUUAUUUUAUUAUUUUUUAAUGUAUGUACCUCUUCGUUUCGCAGGCGCAAGAGGGAAGGGGUAUUAUAAAUACGAUUCUCCCUCUUUCUUUUGGUUCCCUCUCUCCCCACCACCACACCCGAGUCGAAGACGAUUCUCCCUCUUUCUUUUGGUUCCCUCUCUCCCCACCACCACACCCGAGUCGAAGACGAUCCCACUGAGUCGGGCCGCAGCUAUCUUCUACACACCUCUCCUCGUUGCGUCUGAGGCGACUCCGAAGCGAUUCGGCGGAGCUUCGCCUCUCUCGAUCGAUCGCCAUUGAGGAAUCGGAAGCUUCGAGCGAGGAGUAGAGGGAGACGAGGGGGGAGAUCGGAUCGGAUCGGAUCGAAGAGAUCGGAGCCGAGGAAGGUGCGUUAAUGGUGAGAGAAGGGGAGGAGGAGAGGAGAGGGACGAGGCUGGGGAAGUAUGAGAUCGGGAGGACGCUCGGGGAGGGGAACUUCGCGAAGGUGAAGUACGCUCAGCACACGGAGACGGGGCAACCCUACGCCGUUAAGAUCCUCGAUCGGAAGCGGAUCCUCUCCCUGAAGAUCGACGAUCAGGUACUACUCUACUUCGAUUCGAUCUUUUCUACGCCCUUACUUGGUUCGAUUCAAAUUCUCCGAGCGGGAAGGAAGAAGAGAAGGGAUUAACGGAGUAGGUUUUGGGGAUUUUCUUUUUUUGAUUUGUUUUAGAUAAAGAGGGAGAUCGGGACGUUGAAGCUUCUCAAGCAUCCCAACGUCGUACGGUUACAUGAGGUCCGUUCUUAUCUCCGUUAAUCUUCUUCUUAUUGUUGUUUAAUUAGUUCAUUUUAAAUCCCCUCUUUAAUUUGAUGUAUAUUUGCGUAAUCUAGCUUCUUCUUCUUCUUCUUCUUUUUUUUGUGAUGUUUAAUGUUUUGUUCGAUGCGUGACCACUAUGAUGAGACCUCAGAAACUUGCGGCUAUUUCACCUUGCUUCUGCUUCGGUUUCAACCGUAGUCAUACUCAAUGCGUGUUUCACGGUUAGAAACUAAGAAAUAUAUAUAAUAUAUAAUAUAGAAACAUGAUUUUGGAAGCUCCAACUAGCUCAAUUUAGGCCUUCUAUUUUAUGCUUCUAGAAAAAGUAGUGUUAAUUAAGCUUUAUCCCAUACGGUGCUUAUCCUUAUAGUAACUACUCAAAUAACAAUACGCGCUAUUAUGGUAAAGCCAAAUAUGUCCUUAUAUCUGCUAAAUUACAGUGUCCACCUGAAUACCAACAAAAAUUGACGCUAGGCGCCCCCCAAAAAAGGAGAACUAUUUUGCCUAAAUUAAGAAUUUGAACAGUUUAAUAUAAUAUAUAGUGAACUGGUUCUCCGUUUCCGUUUCCGUUUCCGUUUCGGCGCCGCACGUCGAAGUCGUGACUGAUUUGCGUGGGGCCCACGGGCUUUUGGCUACGCUGGUUGGCCGCGUGAGGGUGGGGCCCGCUGCAUGCAACAUGCCGGGACGCCGAUCCCGUGUUGCCUCCCCUCUACUUUCCGGACGGAUUAGAUGGAAAAUGGCGAGCUAAUCACGGCCGUCCACAUGUAAAAGCGCUGGUCCACGUGAUCGUAUUCCGUAAAGAGCUCCAACCAUCAAACACCUCGGACCACCAACAGGAAUCGGGUUUCGCCCCCUCAAUGAUUGGUGGGGCCCGUUUGAAAAAUAACGCCUCCUUUUGCCUGGUGGGCCCCAGCCAUGUGAACCAGAUCGACUCCAACCUCGCUUCUUCUCUCUCUGUCAUGUGGAUGUUCCCUCUGGCCAUCUCAUCUACCUGUUCCCUAGUACCCACAAAAUAAAAUUUUGUCCAAAGUUUUUCAUCGGCUAAAAAAUGACCAUUCUUUUCGUGCACUACCAUCAUCAUUGGAUUGGAUUUGGAGCAGUUGNNNNNNNNNNNNNNNNNNNNNNNNNNNNNNNNNNNNNNNNNNNNNNNNNNNNNNNNNNNNNNNNNNNNNNNNNNNNNNNNNNNNNNNNNNNNNNNNNNNNGAGGCGGAGAGGAGGAGAAGAGACGAGACGAGAGGUGGCUAGGGUUUUUCGAGGGAGAGACCGAGAGGGUAUAUAUAUAUAUAUAUAUAUAUAUAUAGGACCCGAUUUUGUGGGCCUGGAUUUUCAAGCCCAUUUUGGCCCAUAUAAACUGUGCAUUGACACUACGGCCUAAUAUGGCUGAGUUCGAAUAUAGCCCCAUUGUGGCCUACGAACGAGUUUGAAGGUGAGGGGCACAGUAUGAGGCCUAUUAUGGCCCUGAAAUAACCACUUUUUUCAUAUUUUUUAGGAUAAACUUCAAAUGGUUUUAUAUUUUCUCACUUUAAUAUUUUAUAAUUUAAAAUGUAUCAAUUCAGUAGUCUGUGGUUUUAUUUUUUCCUUUUUAUCAGCUCCUCUAUUAACAUUUCGUUAAAUUAUCUACAAAAACUUUUGCUAACAUUAGUUUUAACUUUGUCAAUGAUUUAACCAAAAAAAAUUAGUGAAAGAGAUAAUAAAAAGAGAAAAAAAAUCACAGGGUACUAAUUUGAUAUACUUUAAAUCACAAGUACUAAUAUAAAAAAGUGCGAAACUACAGGGAUGAUAUUUGAAGUUUUUCUUAUAUUUUAAGGAGGAUGACCCAACAUUAGGCCCAUUAUGUCCCAGGAGAGAGUUUGAAAGAGGAGAAUGAUAUAGGCUCACUAUGGACCAAAAAUAAAUUUCGAGCGCCAGUACAAAACAAUGUAGGAUGCAGUAAGACCCACAGGCCCAUUAUGAGUGGAAAAAGAUGCAGACAAUUGUUGGCCCAUUAUGAGUGGAAAAAUUUGGAUCCAUAUGCGCGCACUCAAGUAUUAUAACAUAGUUUAAUACUCCAAUUUAAUCAGGGAACAAGAAAACCAAAAAGGAACUUGAUUAACAUAAUCAACGGGUACAGCAUAAACACUCGAUUCCUUUCCUAAUCGGAAAGAAGCGAAUGAUUAUUACAAAUAAAUUAAUUAAACAAACUUCUCAAAAAAAAAAAACAAAACAAAACAAAACAAGAUAAAUGCGAAGUUUUUUGUGGUUACACCAACCCUCGAUUGCAUGAAAAGCCGCCGAAUGAAGCAAAUCCAACUAAAAUAAUUUUGACACUGGAACGAAAUAGACGCAAAAAACAAAUUUUGAAUCUCGCACACGCAUGCACGCAAGCAAAUUGAUUGUCGAUCAGUUCGCCACCCUACAAUUCUUCCUGAUCCGGCCGCCGUUGGCGCUGGUGAGUAUCUCGAUGGCGCCCAUCUUCACCAUCGCCUUGUUGAAGCUCCUCGGCCACGUGUACGGCUGGUUAGAGCUUUGGUUCACCAGCGCCGCCGCCUGCGCGUUGUUCAGCAACGUCUGGUCCGACGUGAAAAGCACCUUGUGCGCCUUCACCAGCUUGUAGUACCUCGUGUUGAAUCUGUAUCACACGACCACCUUAGUGUGAGUAUAUGAAGAAUAUAUAUAUAUAUAUAUAAAUAUCAUUCUUUAUCAGCUUAAAUUUUUUUUUUUUUUUNUGUCGACCACCGGGUCCCCGCCGCCGUUCUCCGGGCACUUGGUCUUCAAGUAGGCAGCGAAGUUCUUGUCCAUGGACGGGUCGACGCCGUCGGGGGAGUUCCAGGAGUAGAGGCGGUUCGAGAAGGAGGAGCAGUGCGACCGGCCGACCGCGUGGGCCCCGGAGAGGAUGACCAUGUCGUCCAGGGUCAGCCCUUUGACCGCGAACAUGCUCUGGAUCUGCGAGACGUCGCCGAAGGGCGGGGGCAGGAACUGCAUGGCCUCGGACGAGCUGGAGGUGCUGCCGUCGAGGCGCCCCGAGGGGACAGUGUAGUUGACGCCGCCCAGCAGGACCACCAAGUCGCGGGCCGCGAAGGCCAAGAUGUCGGCGCAGGAGACUUUCCCGGGGCAUGCGGACUCGAGCCGGGACUUGGCCGUGUCGAUCACUUCGAACCCUCGCAGGCUGAGGUUCGGCGGCGCCGUUUUCUCCGUGUUCGGUCCGUCGAGAAGCACAGAGGCGUCGCAUCCCUGGUGCAACACAAUACAAAUUUCAUUAGAUUUGGAUCGGCAACCUCUUCCUAUUUCAAAGUGUUCUUGGAGUUGAGAAUAUAUAAUAACAACUAAUUUCAAGGUGUUGUUAUAAAAUGCUAAAAUUUAUAGACACAGCUGUAAUUAAGUUUCAGUCGAUCAGUUCAAUUAGGUGAAAAAUGUAUAAAUAAGUAAUGAAGGGUUAAUUAAAUAUGUAUGUACCCUAACAAAGCAAUCGUGGAAGUGGAGCCUGAUGAGGCCUGCGCCAAUGCCGCGGUCGCCGGAGCCGGUGAUGGCGCUGCGCACAGCGUCUGCAACGAUGCCUUCGGCGUUCGGGCAUUUCGACUUGUAGUAGCCGACACUCAGGGAUGCCGAAGAUUGAAGCAUGCAUUGGAUCGUAACCACUGAGAGCAAAAAAGAGGCAAAAAUGGGCUUGUAAUUAGCUCUCCUCAUUUUCGCACUCGUGUUCACGUACUGUACUCACACAAAGAUAUAUACAAAGAUGAGGAUUUAGUAGCAAGUAAAGGAUUAAGAGAGUGAUUAAGAGAUGGAUGAGAGAAGCUGCUUUAGUGCCAUUGUAUUUAUAGGUGAGAAAUUAGAGAACUCGAAAUACUACGUGAGUUUAAUUACGAUAUUAUAAUGGAACGUGUGCACCACACCGAUCCUUCGUUCCAAAUUAUUUGCUCGUUUACUGUAUGCAUGCCACCCUACUAAAAAAAUAUUUGCAUGUUAAGAAAAAAAUUAAAAACUAAGUCUUUAUAAGCGAUGGAGUACAUAUAUAAUGUUACUAAAAUUAGGGCCUCAGUGACGUGCAAUCAACAAAGCAAAAGAUGUAGGCUUCUAAAUUAAGUCGCGUUAAUAAUUAAGACUAGUAUAUAUAUGUUUAUCGACUAUUGGAAUUAUUUUUGUUAUUCUAUGUGGUUUGUUAGUUAGUCGACCGAUCAUGAAAAACUUAGAAUUUAAUUUUGACAAUGACAAGUUGUUAAGGCCCGAUAUAAACUUCCAAUUAUUCUUCGAAGUCUAAUUAAUUAAUUAAUUAAUUAAUUAAUUUGGUUCUUCACUUUCGCACCAUAAAAUGAACUAUAGGAGGCCAUGUAUACACACACAUACACAUAUAGCUCGUUUCCUAUAUAAAAAUGGGAAAAUUCAAAAUAAUGUGCUUCUCCACUCUGCAUUGAGGAUCCGGCGAAGUUGACUACAAUGACAUUGAUUUUCCCAUUUAAUACUAGGUCUCGGUCCAAUUAAUUAAUACUUCAGCAACGAAUACAUAAUAAUUGAGCAACAAAUAAACGAUGGGCAUGAUAAACGGGUGAUGAUUAGCGAUUAUUAAUGUUGCAAUGAUCGACCAAAUUAAGUUGAUUGAGUAAUUGAUCAACCUCUCGAAGGCUAUUAAUUCUGUAUAUGCCUAAUGGAUUACGACUAUACCCUCGAUCGCACAUUCUACAAUUGUGUAUAUGAAACAUUAAUUGAACAAUGUGAUUAGCACGAUCAAUGCGAUAGCACAUGAUGCAAACACUUUCAUCUGUCAAUUUGCACGCAUGUACAUUGUAUCAUACGUGCACAAGCACAGAAUUUUUCGAUCAAAUUAAUGGAUGGCUUCUUGCUGAAUUCAGCUGCGUUAGGUUCUCGCAGUUUCGUUCGUUGCAAGUCAAGUGUAAGUAAGAUGAUUCUCAUGAGGCCAUGAACUCAAAGUUAUUUUCUUUUCUUUUUUUUAUUCUUUUUUGGAUUUUAAAGUUUCGGAGGUAUCAUGAGUCUCUUGUCCCGCAAUGAUUUUUGCUGGUACAAUUCGAUCGCAUGCAAUUUUGUGUGUGCGGCCACAAUUACUGGCUCUUAACCAAAUCUCCCUUUUUUCAACAAAUAAUAAUAAUAAUAAUAAUAAUAAUAAUAAUUGGUAUCUCCGAAGAGACCUCUUAACCAAAAUCAUUAUGGUGUCACCCUUUGAAUUAAUGGGUCCAAUUUUCUACCUUUUAUGGCAGUAAUUUUUAUAGUCCAAAAAGCAAAAUAUAUAGAAAUUAAGUAAUUCACUAAAAUACGUUGACAUUUUUGUUGCGGAGAGUAUCUAAAAUGGUGGUAAUAAGCGCAAGAUACUAGUGGGCUAAAAGAAAUAAGAGCUCGAGACUUAGUUCGACCAAAAUUUGUGUAUAUCCAGUAACAAAGUUAGAGUCCAUGGGCUCCAUCAAACCAACUCCAUGCCUGCAUAUCGAACAUAUUUAAGGCCCAAAAUAUCUACCAGUUUCGCUUAAUUCGUUGGAAUUAAUGGAAGGGAAUUAACUUCAUAUAUAAGCAUACAUCUAUAAAAAUGUAAUUGUUUUAUCAGUAAUAACGCUCAAGUGAGAUGUAGCUGUUUGAUCUUACUUUCUUCGACGCAAUAUGUUUCUCUAACACAAUUGCUGCCCAUUUGAUAUAUAGUGGCCUUUAUUGGUGCAAUGCAUCCUAUUGCUGCAAAAAUACAAAAUAUAUGCUGAUUACAAAUUGGAGUUUUUGCUCGUCACAUUGUGACAUGGUUUGGUGUCUCAAUGCGAAACUGAGCCAAAUAAGUCCUAAAUGUUCAGAGAGCAAAAUAACUCCUAAUCUUGCUUGAGCAUUAUAUAUCAUCUCUAAUACUAUAUAUGUAAUUUUCAUCUACAAAAACAUUAAUAAGAUAUAUAGUCUUACUUAUAGUUUUGUAUUAUAUAUUGGUUUCUAUGCUCAAAGUAUUUUUAGACCACAAAUUAUCAAUUAAAAUCCAUGUUUAAACAUUGAAUUUUAUUGUGGUAUUGUCAACAUAUGUUUGAUUACACUAAUAAUUCAUUUGACUUUCCAGGACAUAAUUUAAUUUGUAAGAGUCGUUUCAAGCUCGAUGGAAUGUUACAACUACCAUUUUUAGUGAUUAGCAAUAUCUUCACAUUAAUUAAUAACUAUAUAACAAUGAGAAUGUACAUAUGUUAUAUUCUUUUGGUUUUCUAUUGGACCUGGUCAUUUUGGUGUACAACUACGUGCAUAUAUAAUUGGUCAAAUAGAUCGGUUGAGAUUCCCUACAAAUAUCUACAAUUUGUUAGGACAAUCUUGUUGAAUAAUUUGGGGUGUAAAUUCCUAUAAUAAGGAACUUAAUUUGCUUUCCCCAUUCAUUACUUAACUACUUGUUGCUAAUAGUAAUUGGCACAGCUAUAUAUGUUUAGAAUAGGAAGAUAGCUAGCACGCUAUCCGCUUCGUUUCAUUUCAUUUAGAAAUAAAUUUAGCUGAAAAUGUGAAUCAACUAGGAUUCGAACUUGGGACCUCGGGUACCAACCAACAAGUUCUUUGCCACCUGCUCUAGAGGUGGUCGGUGGAAUUUUCGAUUUUCAUUCUAUUUUGGCCUUGAUCCAAGGGGAUUAUUGUCUUUCCUUGACCUUUAUUUCCCCAAUUCCUUAUUCGAUCUAUAACAUAUAGAAUAAAGACCCCUUUAUUAUCCAUCUUUUAUCUCCUUGUGAUGUCCUCUAUAACAUUAACCAACACGUUAUCUUAGAAUAACAUACCUGUCAACAAAUUAAUGAGUAAGGUUCUGGUCAAAGUAAUUAGUUGAUCCAAUCCAACCAGUUAAAUUGGAUCUUAGUAUCAUUAUAUACACGAAUGAAAACUUAGCCAAUUCAUUAAUUAUAAGCCCCAUCCACUGAUCCACCCCCACAGCUUUAAAUUCAACCUAGCUAGGAUUUGCUUAUAANUCUUCGCUAUUACGCCAGCUGGCGAAAGGGGGAUGUGCUGCAAGGCGAUUAAGUUGGGUAACGCCAGGGUUUUCCCAGUCACGACGUUGUAAAACGACGGCCAGUGAAUUGUAAUACGACUCACUAUAGGGCGAAUUCGAGCUCGGUACCCGGGGAUCCUCUAGAGUCGACCUGCAGGCAUGCAAGCUUAUUCCAUUGUAGUUGAGGUGACGUGUGAAAUUUCCACCACCAUUUAGUUAGAAGGGCUUGGUUCAUGGUCGCGACAUCCAAGAUACCUAAACCACCUUCUUUCCUGGACUUACAAACGUUUUUCCAAGCCACCAGACAACCCGUGCCAGGGUGGUCACACCCCCCGUUCCAGAAAAAGUCUCUUCUUAGUGAUUCGAUACGCUUAAUCACCCAAGUAGGUGUUUUGAAAAUGGAUAGAAAGUACAGUGGUAGAUUGGUUAGAACCGCGUUAACCAACGUAAGUCUACCCCCCCUAGAUAGGAGCUUGGCCUGCCAACCCCCAAUUCUACGAUGUAACUUUUGAAUCAUCUCCUCCCAUGCCGCCCUGGGAGGUGUUUUGGGAGAGAGAGGUAAUCCCAAAUACUUGGUCGGAAGAAUACCCAAUCUGCACUCAAGUAUGUUCGCUAAUCUAGCACCUUUGCCGUCCGUCUUACCCAGAUAGUAAAGUUCUGAUUUCUCCCUGUUGAUUCUCAUUCCCGAAGCCCAUUCGAAAAGAUGCCAGAGGAACCUAAGGUUUUCCACGCACCUACUUCUAGCCUCACAAAAAAAGAAAGUGUCGUCCGCGAACUGAACGAGUGUUAUCUUGCUUGCCUCAGAUGGGCCUAUACCAUGGAUGAGAUUAUUAAAGUUUGCCUCGGCAGUCAGCCGAGCCAUACAUUCCGCCACCAAUAAGAAUAGAUAGGGUGAAAGCGGAUCUCCUUGCCUUACACCUCUUCUCGUCUUUAUCCAUUUGGUAAGCUCUCCGUUGACCAGCACUGCCAUUUUAGCGUUACACACACACGAUUCGAUCCAGCCGCACCACUUGUCAUUGAAACCCCACCAACGUAGUAUUUGGAAUAGGAAUGGCCAGGAAAUCCUGUCGUAGGCCUUUUCGAAAUCUACCUUGAUACCCACUCCUUCAAUGUUCUUUUUACAACCCCAACCGAUAAGCUCGGCGACAGAUGCGUACGCGUCAGUAAUAUUCCUGCCUUUCAAGAAGGCUGAUUGAGUAGGGGAUAUCAGACCCUUCAUGACCUGUUCAAGCCUGUUAGCCAAGACCUUAGAUAAGAUUUUUUGAAUCCCGUUCAACAAACUUAUGGGCCGAAAGUCAGUCGCUCGCACUGCUCCCUCCUUCUUAGGAAUAAGGCAAAUGAAGGCGUAAUCGAUGGGCGCCGUGGAGAGCGUCCCCUCGAACAGUCUACAAUUUGUUAGGACAAUCUUGUUGAAUAAUUUGGGGUGUAAAUUCCUAUAAUAAGGAACUUAAUUUUAGAUUAAAAAGCUAUAUAUGUUCCUUUUCUACAAAUCAAUCCCUAACAAAGAUUUUAAUUCGUGCUUUCCCCAUUCAUUACUUAACUACUUGUUGCUAAUAGUAAUUGGCACAGCUAUAUAUGUUUAGAAUAGGAAGAUAGCUAGCACGCUACCCGCUUCGUUUUAUUUCAUUUAGAAAUAAAUUUAGUUGAAAAUGUGAAUCAAUUAGGAUUCGAACUUAGGACCUCGGGUACCAACCACCAAGCUCUUUGCCACUUGCUCUAGGGACGGUCGGUGGAAUUUUCGAUUUUCAUUCUAUUUUGGCCUUGAUCCAAGGGGAUUAUUGUCUUUCCUUGACCUUCAUUUCCCCAAUUCCUUAUUCGAUCUAUAACAUAUAGAAUAAAGACCCCUUUAUUAUCCAUCUUUUAUCUCCUUGUGAUGUCCUCUAUAACAUUAACCAACACGUUAUCUUAGAAUAACAUACCUGUCAACAAAUUAAUGAGUAAGGUUCUGGUCAAAGUAAUUAGUUGAUCCAAUCCAACCAGUUAAAUUGGAUCUUAGUAUCAUUAUAGACACGAAUGAAAACUUAGCCAAUUCAUUAAUUAUAAGCCCCAUCCACUGAUCCACCCCCACAGCUUUAAAUUCAACCUAGCUAGGAUUUGCUUAUAACUUUGAACGAAUGUCUACUAAAUUUUUUUAAAAAAACUAAGAUAUACGCACACAUGUUAAUGUUAUAGGAAUACAUACUUAGCCAAUCCAUGCAUGCAUGCCCUAUAUAUGCAUCCACAACGUUUCAAGCUACUAAAGAUUUGGUUUUUGAUAUUCUCUUAAUUCUUUUAAUUCUUAAUUUUUGUAUAUUGACAUUCUUUUAAUUUGAGUUAAAUAUAUGGAGAUCCCCUCAACUAUAGUGUAAAUUGAAAAGACCUCUCAUUUUGUUUAUUGACGUACAUUCUUUUAAUUCCUAAUUUUUCUCCAAAUUAAAUGUCUGUAAUCAAUUAAAUAUCAAAUGGAUCAUCGGCUUAUAUGUCCUAUAGUGACUAAAUUUAUCAAAACUUUAAUCUCACUAGUUAAAACAACUCAAAUAAAAUGAAAAAAAUUAAGAACUCGAGUGAGCUAACCGUAAAAGAAAUUUCGUUGAGAGGCAUAUUGCAAUAUUGUAUAGUACAUUCAGUUUGAGGGUCUCAUUAGAUCUACAGUAUAUCUCUUAGAUCGAUCUAUGUAUACAUGCAUGUUGAGGUGGUGGAAGAAUUAUUAAUGAUCGUAUGAUCUCUAACUGAUAAAUUAAUGCUCAUCACACGCCAUAUACGACAACCAAAGAAUUAAUUUGAGUUAAUUAGUAAUUAAUUUGAGUUAAUUAGUAAUUAAUUAUAUCACAAUUUGUGACAAGCGCCAGCUCCAAAGCACCAAGCUCCCACACUUUCCUUUUAAAAAUUAGGAGCUGUGGCUAAUUAUUAAUGAACAUUAAGCAAAACCGCAGCCCCAGUUGAUACUGCUAUUGGUCAACCUAUGUCACAUGAUUCUCAUUUACACUUGCUAACAUGCUCAAUUUAAUUAUAUCAUCCUCUGAUAUGUGGCCUCUUCCUAAGUACUCAGCACCAGCUUCUGAAAUAAUCAAUAUAUAUACCUACCCUAAAAAAAGUAUUCCAUGUAUUAUAUGAGAUGGAGUGUGCUAGCUAGUGGAUAUACAUGCAUAUGACAGAUGUAUUUAUUCUUAUUAUUUAUUUGCAAUCUUCUAGUUUGUUCAUUUAUUAAAGACCAAGACUUUCACAUUUGUCUUUUCACUCUCUCUUUUUUUUUAAUACUAAAAUCUAAAAAAGAAAGAGUUUAAAAAUUCAUAAGAUUUCAACUCUCGGAUGAGAAUUAUACCUACAAUCCUUUUUGGAUCGUAGACUUAGCAUUGCUCAAAAUUCUAAUACACAUUCUAAAAAUUCUACAACCAAUAUUUCCAUAAAAGUCUAGCAAGGCCAAUCAUGGGGUCCCUCGUAAUCAAAAUCUGCAUGCUUAAUUUUAGUGUCCAUUAAUUAAUUCUACAUUGAACUGUAGCGCCAAUAUAUUUGAGUGUUUGACAAAUAAACUGAUUUAGAGUCUCAACUCUCGACUGUAGGUAAGAACAAAAUUUAAAAUUCAAAUAAUAAUAUUAUUAAUUUAUAACUUCCUGAAUAUACUGAAAAACAAAGUACAGAUGAAAUUUUGAUAUAAACUUUUUUUUUUCUUUUCCUAAUAGCUAAAACAUUAAAGCAUUACAGUAACCUAGAAGAAGAGGCUCUUGGGACUAAAUAAACACGGGAAAAAAGUCAAAAUAAUAAUUAAUUUUUAAAAAAACCCCAAAGAACCGGUAGGUAGAUAGGUUGUGCGGUAAAAGUCAACUUGUGAGCUGGUGCUACCCAUGUUUACAUAAGUUUGCCUCAGAAACUGCACGCCCACGUUCUAGUUUUGCUUUAAUAUCUUUGUUUUCUUCAUCCAAUGUUACACAAAUUAUUAUAUAAUAUACGAGAAUCGGACGUACAAGCCUUAUCUUUCUCUUUAGUUUACUUGGGCCACGUUCUCUAUCUUCCUGUUUAGUUUACUUGGGCCAGUUCCUAGAUCUCCUUGCCAUCUAUAAAUACCACCCACUACUGCUGCAACUCUCCUCAUCACUACACCACCUUCUCGAUCUAAAGCUUAUUGAGUUUAGAAAUUAAUUAAAAGCUAGCGCAUAUACAGAGAGAUGAGGAGGAGGAGCUCCAAUAUUGUUGCAUUCUCAUGCAUGUUCUUCAUCUUGGCCUUGCAAGCCAUCCUCCCUAUCUCCUCUGCUUCCCUUCAAUUCGGUUUCUACGAUUACAACUACAAAUGCAAGAGAACUAAUGUCGAGCUCCUCGUGAGGGGCGUCGUCGCAAAGGCUAUCCGGAAGGACCCCGGCGUCGGCGCGGGCCUCAUCAGGAUGUACUUCCACGACUGCUUCGUUAGGGUAAGACCUGCAUGCAUGCUCUCUCUUCUUUUCUUCUUCUUUAUUACAAGCAUAUAUGUAGAGGCUAGCUAACUAGGACUCAAAGUCAAAUUAUAAACCAAUUAAACUUUUCUUUUUCUUUUUCUUUUUCCUUUUUGAGAAGAAUUAAACUAUUAGACAUAUAAUCUAUAUAUAAUGGCAGCAUUUGUGUGCCAGGUACAACAUAUUUACAAUAUAUCCAUUAGUGUUUCGUUCUAUACAUUGCUAAAUCCCACCAAACUAGCUAGUCAUCAUCGAAAGAGCAUAUUUUGUUUCUAAUUUUUUAAAGUGAACUUAAUUAUCGAAUGAGCAUUCUCGAAAACUUUAAAUAGCUACAUGGAUGUACGAAUGCAACGAACGCAUGCAAUAAUUUCUCUAAAGAAAUUAAAAGAUUUUUUUUUUAGAGAUAGAUAGCACGGUACUUGCUUCAUUUAUUUCAUUUAGAAAUAAACUUAGCUAGAAAUGUGAAUCAACUAGGAUUCGAAUUUGAUUCUCGGAUACCAAUCAUCAAACUCUUUGUCACUUGCUUUAGGGACGACCGGUAAAAAAAAUUAAAAGAUUAAUUAAAAGAAAAAGAGAGAAAAAGAAAAAUUCUCCCGCCCAAUAUUCUUCAAUCUGGACGCUACUUAUAAUUCAUCACCGGGUAUAUAUAUAUCCCGGCGAUCGACAUACAUGCAGGGCUGCGACGCCUCCGUCCUCCUCGACCCGACCACUGCCAACCCGACGCCCGAGAAGACAUCCGUGGCCAACUUCCCGAGCCUGCGCGGCUUCGAGGUGAUCGACCAGGCGAAGGCCAAGCUGGAGCGCCGCUGCCCCGGGGUCGUGUCCUGCGCAGACAUCGUCGCCUUCGCAGCCCGCGACGCCGCCUUCUUCCUGGGCCGCAUCUCCUACCCCAUCCCCUCGGGCCGCCUCGACGGCCGCAUCUCCCUCCAAUCCGAAGUCCUCCAAAACCUGCCGGCCCCCUCCUUCAGCCUCUCCCAAAACGAGGCCUUCUUCGCGAACAAGGGCAUGUCGCCCGAGGAGAUGGUGACGCUCUCCGGUGCCCACUCCAUCGGCCGGUCGCACUGCUCCUCCUUCACGGACCGCCUCUACCCGACGGAGGACCCGACGAUCGACCGGUCCUUUGCGGGGAUCCUGAAAGGAAUGUGCCCGCAGAACGCGGCGGUCGACGGCGUCGUGCCCCAGGACAUUGUGACCCCGAACCGGCUGUCCAACCAGUACUAUAAGAACGUGAAGGCGCACAAGGUGCUGUUCACCACGGACCAGAACCUGAUGAGCUCUUCCGAUACGGCAGCGAUGGUGAAGGAGAACGCUAGGAACCAGACUGCGUGGAAGGCCAAGUUCGCGGCGGCCAUGGUGAAGAUGGGGAACCUCGUCGAGCUCACGGGGCCGCCAGGCGAGAUCAGGAAGAAUUGCCGUGUCGUGAACUAGCUGUAUAGCUAGGGGCCGAAGAUCGAGUUUGCAUGCACGCAUGCAUGGCGUUUUCAUUCUACGCACGUACGCGUACGUACGUAAGUUAUUCGAUCUCAUGCAUGCAUGCAUGCGAACGUAACGAUGAAUAAUUCUCGCGAGGAUGCGUGGAGUUGAUUUAUUAUCUGGUCGAUCGUCGUGUUGUGUUUUGUUGUGUGUCUAGCUGGUUCUUCUGUUCUCAAUUUGUUCUUUCUUUUUUGUGUGUGCGUGUGUUUUUGGUUUUCAUUUCCUUCAAAUAUUUGCAAUUCGGGUUUAAUUUGAGCAAUUGUUGCUUGUAAUUGUAGAAAUUUGUAUUUGCAAGGUUGUACCACUCAAUGGAACCUUCGAGUGCUGUUCCAAAUAAUCUCCAUUUAAUUACUUUUUUGAGUUCCAGUUACAUCUCGAUCGAUUUGCUAUUUUACAUAUACACUGAACUACUCUAUUGUGCAAAUCAUAUAUGUAUAGUUCUCUUCCUUUUGUUACAUGCCUCCGAAUUAAAAAGAUUCCACAUAAUGUCGAGCAAAAGUUUCACCUCAACAAAUACGUUAUAGAUAAACAUGUCCGUGUUAAUUAAGGCUAUAUAUAUAUAUAUAGCCCAAGCACAAAGCUCGAAACGCCAAGCUUCUACUUAAUUUCUAUUUAGGAGCUCAACAUGACAAAUUAACACGCAAAUUAAUACAAUAAUUGCAUUAGUAAAUUUAAAAUCUUUGGAGCACGGCCACUCGUGUUGCUGACAGACCCAAAAUGUUACAAGGUCUUUCCUUACUGUCCGCCACUUGGUGGGUGGUUUGGACCGAAAGGAAUAAUAUCAUUUUUAGAGGAAAACGUACACCCGACUCCAUCCCGCUCCCUAGAACGUGUCACCCUCCUCCUGAACUCAUGGGACGAGCUCCGCUGAUUAGCGUCUACUGAUACUUCCAGUUUCACUGAUCUCUGUUUCGAUUGAACUGGCCCUACUGUUUGUCUUCCUUUUUCUCUUUCCCUUUGGAUUCUGUUUUUUUUCUUAUGCUUUUUCUUUUUUCUGCUUUUCUCGGAGGCCUUGGCUGCUUCCAUACUGUAUGCCUAGCUAGUUCAUUUCACUCAAUGAAUGAAGCGGGUAGCUUGCUAUCUAUUUAUCAAAAAAAAUAUAUAUAUAUUAACUACAAUAUCGUGUGAUAUAUAAUAAAUGGAUUUCGGUGUACUGAUGCCCAAAAUCAAAUAUUUAAUUAACCCUUAACCCAUCAAGUUUUACCUGUCUUCCAUUAAUUUCAUCUGCUUCUUACGAGGCAUUGCACUUGUUAAUUUCACAUUCCAUGAGAAAAACAUAUUGUUAAAACGAUGAAUUAAUGGAUUAUCAAUACUACUAGUAUAGAGACCCGCGCGAUACAGCGGGUAGAUAAUAGAAACAAAAUUUUAAUAAAAUUUAUAUUCACAACUUAUUGAUGUAUAAGAAGCUAUACCCAUAUUAAACAUAAUCAAUUUGUAUGACUAAAUUCAACUAUUAAAAAAAAUAAAUUAUAGUUAGAAGUUUAUAUAUAUUUUUUAAAAUCAUCGAAAUACAGUAAGAGACAUAUAAUUUUAUCGUAUUAUGUGCACUUUAAAUAUUCCGUUGUGAAAAAUAAAAAAGAGCUAGCUCCAGCGCAGCUAAAUCAACCUAGUGGGCACUUAUAUGAGCCGCGGCUCGAUUUUGCGGAACGAUGCUUCUCGAAGGAGACAACGUUCUUCGCAUGCUCUUCUUCUUCUUCUUCAUCUUCAUCGUCCUCAUCAUCUUCGUUAACAAAAUAAGAGAGAGAGAGCUAGAUGAGUAUUGGGUGGACAAUUAGAUGAUGAUAUUUUUUUUGCAUGAAAAAUAAGAGGCCGUGCAAGAAGAGAGGGGGGUGGGGGAUUAAUGGAGGUGGGGGUGGAUUGGUGUUGUAAAGCCCAUUUAUUUAUAGAAUAUAGUGCCUAUAAUUAAAUGUUGCAUUUUCGAUUAAUUAAUUUUCAUGAUUUCAAAGGAUUGGGAGGUGAAGGGUUUUGCGUUGAAAAGAGAUUUGAAUGAGAAGAAAUGACUAAUAUUGAAGAGAAAAAUGAGUAACAUAUAAAUUAAAGAGCACAUUAAUUACUUGUUAUUAAAUAAAGAGGAGGGGAGGGGAAAAGCCAAGAACAAAUGUGAGUUCAAAAAAAGGGUUAGUAAGGUUGAAAGAAAACUUGCCAUGUGGCAAAAAAUAUUGGUAAUUCAUUUAGGUUAAUAGAUGUUACCUUUUAUGCAUUGUCCCAAUUAUUAUUAAUAAUUAUCAAAGUAUGUGCUCUGCUCACUCGGACCACAGCAAUAUAUAAAGUAAACCUUCGUAUAAUAUUGCACGUUUGUUGCAUGUGCAUUAGUACGACUUUGCCUCAUGUUUGGUUCAUUUAACUGAUCAAUUUUUUCGACAAUGACUAUAUAAAAAGAAAUAAACUAAUUAAAAAAAAAUCCUAUAUAUCAACUUGAUUGAGAUAUUAAUAGAAGUCAAAAGAUCUAUUUAUUCAAAGGGCAUUUAUUAACUCUCUAUAGACAUUAAUGUAAGCUAAUUUAAAAAAUCUUUUGUGUUUCGCAAGCUAGUUAAAUCUUAGCUGUCCUGAAGUUCUAGUUACCUUGGGUGAUACGAAUUUAAUUUAUGUUUAUUAUGUGAAAUUCCAGAUAGAAAUAUUAGAUUGCAGUUGUACAUAUAAACAUAUAAACAAUCCUGAGGAGAUAACAUGUAUGAUGAAGGUGAAGUUUACACACCUAUGAAUAUACCUAGCUAGCUAUUAGUUUAAAGUGUACGCAUAUAUAUUUGACUUAAUUUGAUACUAUAAAUGCUAUGAUCUAGCACCAAGCACUUGGUGCUACCAAAUUUUUUGGCGUUAGAUGUACCCUUUUGAUCAUUUUCAUCCGUUAGAUCUUACUUUUCAACCAAUCACCCACUCAACCCUAGGGGGGCCAUAUCAUCCUAAUCGCACAUCUCUUGAUCCAAUGACAAAAAACUUGGUAGCAUCAAUGACUUAGUGCUAUUAAUAGUAUAUUAGCUUAGUUUUAUAUAUAUAUAUAUAUAUAUAUAUAUAUAUAUAUAUAUAUANAAUUUCACAUUCCAUGAGAAAUUAAAACAUAUUGUUAAAACGAUGAAUUAAUGGAUUAUCAAUACUAUGUUACCUUUUAUGCGUUGUCCCAAUUAUUAUUAAUAAUUAUCAAAGUAUGUGCUCUGCUCACUCGGACCACAGUAAUAUAUAAAGUAAACCUUCGUAUAAUAUUGCACGUUUGUUGCAUGUGCAUUAGUACGACUUUGCCUCAUGUUUGGUUCAUUUAACUGAUCAAUUUUUUCGACAAUGACUAUAUAAAAAGAAAUAAACUAAUUAAAAAAAAUCCUAUAUAUCAACUUGAUUGAGAUAUUAAUAGAAGUCAAAAGAUCUAUUUAUUCAAAGGGCAUUUAUUAACUCUCUAUGAACAUUAAUGUAAGCUAGUUUAAAAAAUCUUGUGUGUUUCGCAAGCUAGUUAAAUCUUAGCUGUCCCGAAGUUCUAGUUACCUUGGGUGAUACGAAUUUAAUUUAUGUUUAUUAUGUGAAAUUCCAGAUAGAAAUAUUAGAUUGCAGUUGUACAUAUAUAUAUAAACAAUCCUGAGGAGAUAACCUGUAUGAUGAAGGUGAAGUUCACACACCUAUGAAUAUACCUAGCUAGCUAUUAGUUUAAAGUGUACGCAUAUAUAUUUGAUUUAAUUUGAUACUAUAAAUGCUAUGAUCUUCCAAAAAGAGGAUGAGAAAAAUUGAACUUUGGAACGAGCAGUUAAUUUAGUUUGAGAAUCAUGAAAUUUAUCUAGCAAUAUGGUAUAUAUAUAUAUAUAUAUGUAGAGUCCGGCUACUAUACUAUUAAUAGCACCAAGCACUUGGUGCUACCAAGUUUUUCGGCGUUAGAUCUACCUUUUUGAUCAUUUUCAUCCGUUAGAUCUUACUUUUCAACCAACCAUCCACUCAACCCUAGGGGGACCACAUCAUCCUAAUCGCACAUCUCUUGAUCCAAUGGCCAAAAACUUGGUAGCAUCAAUUACUUAAUGCUAUUAAUAGUAUAUUAGCUUAGUUAUAUAUAUAUAUAUAUAUAUAUAGUAGGGCUACUGUGCUAUUAGAAGCACAGCAGCUCUUGUGCUCCUAACUUUCUAACCACCUAUCAAAUUUGAUGGGUGGUUAGAAUGAGAGAGGGAGGCGAUAUUGAAGAGAAAUUCAAGGAGAAGAGAGAUUUAAGCACCCAAUUUCUCCCCAAUAUCUCUUCUCUCUCUCAUUCUAGCCACCCAUCAAACUUGAUGGGUGAUUAAAAAAUUAGUAGCAUAAGGACUGCUGUGCUCCUAAUAGCACAGUAGUCCUUCUCUAUAUAUAUAUAUAUAUAUAUAAUUUGGUGGUCUUACGAAGAUAUAUACGGAGCAUGUGCAGCAACGUUGUUUCUGCAGUGAUGUGAUGAUCGCCCUACACCUGUUGUAUCUUCAAGAAGAUUCACUCUUUGCUAUGAAGGAGAGGAGAAAAAAUACUACAUAAUUUGAGUAGGGUUUUAUUAAUUACUGCUAAGCACAGAGCACAGAACAAUUAAAAGUUCUCAUUGAGGGAAGGAAAUCUUAUAGCAGGAACAUUUUUAAUUUGAUUCGUCAUUGAUUACGCUUUGGCGUACAGAUCUUAAAAAAAUUAUGAUUUUUUAAGAUAUAAUGGAGCAUUCGGAAACCUGUCCUAAUCAGGUAUUGUCUUAAUUAUUGUAUAUAUUCAGGGCACGUGUUGCGUUCCUUGGGAUGCGGCAUGUAGGAGCACUGUACACAUAUAAUUUUUUGGGCCACCGAAAGUGAAAAAAAUAAAUUAACUAUCAGCAGUACAUAUUUAUUUUUAUUAUUUAGUUCAAAGUAAUUUUAUUUUUACUCAAAUUUUAAAUUCUUUUAAAUACUGUAAUUAACUUCACCUCAUUCAAACUGAAGUCAAUUAUAAGGUAUACUUAAAAGUUAAAAAAUUUCAACUCCAUAUCUAUAAAAAAUAAAAAACAAAAAAAAAUCGCAUAAAUUUUAUUUUACUAGAAAAUCUGCUUCAACAUAAAAUUCACCAGGUCCCUAUUUUUUCUUUUCUUUUCUAGACUAAUUGCACUUUUGAUCCUUAAAUUAUAGGGUUAUUUGCAUACACGUCCCUACAAAUAUAGUGAAUUGCGAAAAUAUUCCUGCAAAACGGAAACGCCAUAAAUUGUCCCUGCAAAAGUACUAAGUUAUGCAGAUAUGUCCCUACCGUCCAGAUCUAUUAGAAAAUUUUCGUUAACCACGGUUAAAAUACUUAACCAUAAUUAAUUAUAGUGUGAAUUGACGUAUUUACCCUUCUUCCUUUUCCUUCUUCUUCGUCGCCGGCGAGGAGAUGCGGCCGCGACGGCGGCGACGGUGGCGAACCCUCUUCUUUUUCCUUUUCCAUCUUCCUCUUUUCCCUUCUUCUUCCUUCUUCCUCUUCCUCUUCCCUCUUCUCCGUCACCGGCGAGGGAGAAGAACCUCGUCGGGGUCGGCCUCGGAAAGGCGGGCGAGUUUCUGGAUGAGAAGCUCGAGAGCGUUGUUGUCAACGAGGGCGUGCGCGGGGUCGUCGUGGUCGCCGAGGACGUCGGCGUCGGUGAGGUCGGUGAGGAGGGAGACGACGUCGACGGCGAUGUUGGCGAUGUCGUGGCCGAGGAGGCCGACGAGGGAGGGGACGGCGUUGAGGGCGACGAGCUUCGGGUAGAGCUCUGGUGCCUCGGCGUUCUUCCCUCUUCUUCGUCGCCGGCGAACCCGACCCCGCGCCGCCGCCGCCGUCGUCUGCUUCGACGGUCCGAAGAGGAAGAGAAAGAGAAAGAGAAGGGAAGAGGAAAACUUUUGGAGGGAUAUAUUUGUGAGGGUAAAAUGGUCAUUUCACGAAUCCACUGUUAAAAAAUAAACAGAUCACUAACGGAUGUUAACCGAAGAAAUAUAUCUGCAUAACUUAGGACUUUUACAGAAACAACUCAUGGAGUUUCCGUUUUGCAGGAAUAUUUCUGUAAUUCACUAUAUUUGCAGGGACGUAUAUGCAAAUAACUCUAAAUUAUAAACAUUUUAAUCCUUAAACUGUAAUAUCCUAUCAUAAUUUCUGACUAAAAUUUUUACAUUAUUAUAAUGUACCGUUAACACAGCAGUAGUGCAACAUCUAAUUAUUUUCACGUCAUAAACUAAAAUAUUACUAUAUUACUAUAUUACUAUCUUAACACCUAUCAACGGCAUCACCACUUAGUGCAAACUUAAUUUGAACCAUUUAAAAAAUUUAGCCAAUAAUUACUACAAAUUUAAUUUGAGAACUACCACAUCACAAGCCUCAAUUGAGCCCUUAUUUAAUUACACACAAACUUCAAUAAAAGAACUAGUAGUUAUAUUAGUCUUUAAUUACAAGUUCGUGAGCUAACAAAUCACAUCUCAAGCGUUCAGAAAAUUAUUUGAAUCAAUGCAUAUGCAGUAGGAUUACUCUCUUUCUAUCUAAAAUUUACAUCUCAUUACCUGUCCCUAAAAUCUAAUCUCUCUCUGUUUUUCUAAUAACAACUCAGGUAAAAAUCCUAAGCAAGAAAUCUUAACCAGAAGUACCAAACACAAUUUGCGCAGAACCUGCAUGCCGUGCACUAUUCCUCACACUGCAAUAGAAUCAGAUCAACAAGCUGGAAAUUAAAGUUCUACGUUAACAUCAACAUUUGCAACAUAAGCCAGAUACGUACGCGCUUAACAUUCAGAUCCCAAAAUGGAAGUUAAAAAGAGUCGAACUAGUCUCUUUGCAAUCCAUGCACCUCAGCGCACACAGCACAAGCAUACAUAUACAUAAAAACACACACAUAUAUAGACUUACAGGUAGUACACUACGUCCAUAACAUUUGAUAUUAUGUAUUAACUCGACCUAUUUUUAACUUGUGCAUAGAUAUAUGUAUGGGUUUAGACGUUGGUGAAGCGUAGGUAUCCCUUCUUGGAGGGGAGAUCAGCAGUCUCCCAUCCGUUGGGGAACAUUUUCUUGGCCUCCUCGUCGGUCACGCUGGGCCCGAUCACGACGGGCUCGCCGGGCUUCCAAUUCGCAGGGGUCGCCACCUUGUGCUUUGCCGCCUUCUGCACCGAGUCCACCACCCUCAACACCUCAUCCAUGUUGCGCCCCGUCGACGCCGGAUACAGAAAGCUCGCCUUCACCUGAGGGUACGUGGUUCGGGUAAAUCCAAUUGAGAAGAAAGGAAGCUAUGUGUAGUAGCUAGUAAUUAACUAGUUGUUGUACGAAGCAACUCUCACAAGAAUAGAAACGAUUCUUCCGUAAUCCAGAAGCUCGAUCUUUACAAGCAGUACUUCUUAUCUAAGGUUGGCAAAAGAAACUAGGCCGCAUUAAUUGUUUUUUUUUAAAAAAAAAAAAAUUUAAACCCUUAUUAUAUAAUUUGAAUUUGAAAUGUGUUAUCUUACAUUGUGUUACAAUCAUGUGACGUACGACAAUCAUGUGCUUAAUUCAGAACUAAUGCUUUUCAUAUACAAAUUUUGAAUUGCGCUAGAACUACAACUCAAAAUGGGAUUUGAAUGCCACUACUCUGUAGAAGGGCCACCUUUUUUCUACCAAUCUUAUCACUCCUUCCCUAUUUUUUAAAAAUAAAACUAAAAAACUGAAAGAAAAAAAGAAAAGAAAAGAAACUCUCUAAGAGUUACAACUUGUAUGAAGGGCAGUAGACUUGUAUUCUCAAAUAUUUUAUCACUUCAUCACAUACAAUCUUCGCCAACAGAGACAUCCCCAUAUACCUUAGUAGGCAUACCAGUACUAGCAAAACCUGUACAUCAAAAUUCUGAGAAGAUACCUACUCUAAUCAAUUGUUAGAGCAAGUAACAAAGAAUUUGAUAAUGGUUUCAGAUUUGAAGCCCUGUUGCUUCAGAUUCUGACAAAAUUUAACUGCCAUAUGGCGCACGGCCUUGACUCUCGUCUCUGUUUGCACAAUUUUGCAUGUAAUACCUAAGGAUGGAUAGGUACCCCAAAGUCCUUUCUGCCCGUUAAUCUCAUGAGAUACAAAUACCACCUUUCUAUUAUAAUAAAUACUCUGGACUUUGUGGUUGGUAUUCGAGACCCAAGUUCGAAUCCUAGUUCAUUCACAUUUCCAGAUAAGUUUAUUUCUAAAUAAAAUAAACGAAGCGGGUAGCGUGCUACCUAUUUCUCAAAAAAAAAAAAAAAAUACUAUGGACUUUUUCAUUAAGGAAUUGGUUUGAUUAAGAAGCUCCGCGAAAUUAAACCACUAAAAAGGCACCUAAAAUCCGAAUACUGAACAGGUUUUUUUAGUAACGUUAAUCCAUACCAAAGCCUCAAGUUCAUGCAUAAGAUUUCCAAUCAUUAGAAUUUAAACUGCAAAAGCGGGUUUAAAUUAAAAAAAGUACCCGCUUAUCAGGUCCCACAAUAUGGAGAGCCCUCGACGGAAGUGCCUUCCCCUUGGAGUCCUUCUCGUCCGGGUCCACCAUGUUCAGCUCUUUGAUCACCUCCCCCUUCGGAUCCGCCGCUAUCGGAUAUGUUACAUGGCAACCCGGCUGUACUCAAAUAUUUUCCCCAAAAAUAGGAAAAAAAAAAGUGCUGAAAUUAAUUACUGGGCAGCAAUAUAUAUGGUACCAAAUGAAAAUUAAAUAAAUAAAUAUAUAUAUAUAUAGAAUUAAGUUGCUAUACUAUUAAUAAUACAAAAUACAAAAUGCUUGGUGUUAUUAGAUUUUUUUAGUUCUUGGAUGAACAGACGUACGGUUAGUUAGUAAGGUUAAGUGAGUAGUUGUUAAAUAUAUAGUACAAUCUACAAUCUAAUAAUCUAAUAGAUAAGAAUAAUCAAAGAAUAGAUUUAACGAACAAAAAAAUCGAUAAUAUCGAGCAUGUGAUACUAUUGAUACGAUUGAUAGUAUAGUAACCGAAAACUCGCUCUUUCUCUCUCUCUCUAUAUAUAUAUAUAUAUUAGAUAAAAUGAUUGGCCAAUUGAUUAAUUUUGAUCGAUCACCGUGUAGGCCUCGAUGUCUUUGAUCCACUCCUUGUGNCUCUAUAUAUAUAUAUAUAUUAGAUAAAAUGAUUGGCCAAUUGAUUAAUUUUGAUCGAUCACCGUGUAGGCCUCGAUGUCUUUGAUCCACUCCUUGUGCGACUCGACGCUGUCGCACGACAGUCCCAGCAGCUUCACCCCGCGCUUCUCGAACUCCGCCGCGUACGCCGCCAUCUUCCCCAGCUCCGUCGUGCACACCGGCGUGAAGUCCCCUGCGAAAUCCAGUCAAAGAUUCCCCAAAACUAUUACUGAAAAUUAAAGAAGAAACGCUACGAGCUAGUGGAAGUGCUUCUACACGUACGAAGCAUGCAUGUGUAUAUAUAUAUAUAUAGCAUGCACGAACUAACAAGUAGCCACUUCAUCCGUACCGGGGUGGGAGAAGACGAUGGCAUAGCCGUCGCCGACGAACUCGUGGAUUCUGAUCUUGCCGUGGGUGGUCUCCAACGCCAGGUUGGGGAUGGUGUCUCCGAUCGUCAGCCCCGGCAUGGCUUCUUCCCAACCUGAUCGAUCGAUCCAACUACUUCUUCAACACGUACUAGUCUUACUGGUGAUUACUAACUAACUAGCUACUACACACUUCUAGCUACUUCUAUUAAUUCCGAGAAAUGGUUUUUGGAACUGGGUUUGGGCUUCUCAUUUUUAUAGCAGAUUAAAAGUGGCGACACGUUUCGAGCACGUGGAGACACGUGGAUGGCGUCGUGGCAGCAGGUUUGUUAUUUUAUUUGUCGAAAGAUGAGGGAUGUGUACAUGGAUCCGUACCCACUGCCCGUUGCCACCGAAACGUGUCAUGCUGUUCUUCAAAGUGACGAGCCUUUGAAACUUGUAACGGCCUUUACGUACAAUAAUAAUAACUUAGGUCUCAUAUUAACUUUUUAUUUUUUAAAUUAAAACUUUAUAUAUUAAAAAAAAUACAGAAAAGAGUAAUAAAUUAUAAAAAUUAUUCAACAUAUUUAUUUAGUAAUAAAAAAUAAAAAUUUAAAAUAAAUUAAUGUUUAUUAUUUAAUUGGAUUCACUAUAAACUAACCAUUAAGAAUAAUAAAAAUUUACUUCACCACAUUAAAUAAUAUAGGACUAAUAUAUUUUUUUUUUUUGAGAGGAAGGUAGCACGCUACCCGCUUCAUUCAUUGAUUUGGUGAAUUAAGCUACAAGUGUGGGGCAACUAGGCCCCGCGGAAUGGUCAAGGCAAGGUUAAAAAAAAAAAAAAAAGGUACAAAAGUACUAAAUUGAUCCGAGCAGCGGUUCCCACUCCUUCAGCAGUUUCUUGAGACUGUUUACCGCUAUCCCUGGGUUAGGCCAGAUAUUCCGAAAGAUCAUAUCGUUCCUGGCCUUCCAGAUAAUCCAUCAUUAUUAGGUCAAUAAGACCGGAGCGCUUGUUCAGAUGUGUGUUUUUCUCCCUCCACCUGUCCCAAACUAGGUUCACAUCGACCCCCAGAUCAAGAGCUUGGAUGUCUUCCACCCCUGUCACCUAUACAAACUUACCAAAUACACACUUGGUGAAUAGAUGAUCCGCUGAUUCAACCUCCAUCCCACAAAGCACACAGGUUGGAUCCUGAAUCCACCCUCGCUUGACAAGCCUAUCUCUUGUGAGGAUUCUUUUCUUGAGAAGCAGCGACACGAAAACUUUAACUUUCAGUGGGAUUGUAAGACUCCAAAUACGUGUGGCUCGUUCAUGUCUCGUACCGCCGUCCAACAAAGCCGAAUAGGUGAAUUUGACCAAGAAUAUAGGACUAAUAUUUAAAAAAAAAAAAGGUUGAGGAUAUAAAAUGAGGCCUAUUCUGAAUCUCUGAUACUCAAAUUAUAAUAUAUGUCACAUCUUAAUUCUCAAAUUUUAAUUUAUUAUAAUUUUUUUAAUUUAAAAUUUAAAAAUUAUCAAUUAUUCAAAUUUCACAAUCUAAUAAUUUUUUUUAAUGUUCUCAAAGAUCUUCGUGCGUGUUACGCCUUUGACUCUAACCCGGGCCGGUCUGGAGCAAGUCAAAGUUAAUAUCCUUUCCAACGAGAAAGAGGGAAUUUUGAAAAAGGGCUUCGAAUAUUUCGACCAUAAUAAAAGCCUUCAAAUUAACCGAUCUGACCUGCCAUCCCAUUUCCCAGCAAGUAUGGAAUAUCGCUGGAAAGGCAUAUCAUUAAACAGUGCAUCUUUCUUUUUUUUUUCUCUUUUUCGAUUCCCAUAUUAGUUUUGUAAUUUAAAAAAAAAAAAGAAAAAAAAAAGAACUAAACUAGUUAACUUCGGAUCGAGAAAAGGUGACAGCUGAAUCCACGAGAUAACACUACUGGUUCAAAGGAGAAAUGUGCAAAACAAUCAUGGUAUUCCUCAAUUCCUUUCCUAAAUUGGGCGACUCAUCUCCACAAUUAUGCAUCUUUUCCCAUUUAACUAAUUGAGAUAGCAUAUCAUGCGGGUUGAGUAGGUUGUAUGUACCUUCCCACAGUAUCUUCUUUUCUGAUCACACCAGAAAAAGGAUAUUUCAGCUCAAGAGAGAGACCAAUAGCCGGACAGAUUUUGAAAGUAGACAAAUGGUGGCUCUAUCAUGGGGGAAUCUGUGCUCACUAUAACAAGCAACAACAGGAAAUUUAAGCACACAAUUAAUGUGAAAUUGCACAGAAAAUUUAGCAGUAGAUGAGCACAGAGUACUUAUUCUGAAAGCUGAUCUCUUCGUUUACGAAGUGGUAGAAAUUUCAUUUCAUUCAGACUCUCCAGUGUAAAGAUGUGCGGCAUAUAAUUAGUUCAGCUGGAAGGUAUCUACUAGUAAAGAUAUGGUAACAGCUUAAAGCUGAGAUGCGUAUUUGAAUAGCAACUUAGAACCACAACAAUCCAUGUCUACCAUCUUGUCGAACGGAUGGAACGCCAAAAUUGGCUUUGAAUUGUUAACAACCCUUCUCAAACAAGCCAAAAUUGGUGUCCGCAUACAAAACAAACACUUAAUACAUCGUCCAAGAUUUUAAUACUUUUGCUCCUUUCAUGUACUUUUCUUAAGGCACAAAGCAGCAACAGCAACAACAACAACAACAACAACAAAAGAGUCCUUCCCCUUCUAUAUUCUGAAUCUCACAGUCCAACCCAUUCUAAAGCCCUCAAAUAGUGGUUACUGAUAGAGCUGUUCGAAAGCAGUGAAGGAUCAACGUACAAAAGUACCACCAGUUCCCCAACUGCAUCAAACUUCUUUAAGACGAGUAAAUAGAUGUACAGAGAAAGGAACAAGUAUGGUAAUCAGUGGCUAAUGCCUACCUGGUUGUGAUUGUCAGAUGAGUCAUUUAGACCUAAGCAAGUCAGUGAUUGUCAGAAGAGUCAUUUAGACCUAAGCAAGUCACAAAAUCGCAGACGGAGACUUUGGCAUAUAUACUUGUCUUGCUGGGGUUUCCACAUUACAUUCAACUAACAGGUUAAAACAUGAUGCACGCGACCAAAGUUGAACUAGCACACAAGCAAUGACCUAACGAACUUGAUCCAGCACAAAGUUAGUAAGAAGAUUCACAUGGGGAGUGGUAAAUCGGUAAUACCGUCAUGCAAAGGUUACUGAACAUUAUAAGAAAUCAAAAUGGUCUAUAGAUAAGAAGCUCAAGUAAUAAAAGUGUUAACAACUUACAAAGGUUCUGUCUGCAUCUGAAUCGAAUGCCUCAACAAAGAUAAACUCCGGGCAUUGAUCUACUACUCCUGUUAGAGAAUCAAUGAUGAAUAAUUCAAAUCACAUCCCCAUCCAUCUGACGAUUCAAGCAAAUCUGCUUGCUCCGAACUCGUAGCAAAUCCCCACUCUCACGCCUCUGUACAAAUACAAUGACAGCUCUCCUUCUUCUUUUCCUCCUCCUUGUGAGACAGAAGAACAAACAGGUGGUGUGCAUUACGACGUCUCACCGCCGUCGCCCGUCUCAGCAGCGUUCUUUGCAGCCAUCAGCUCCAAGUCCCUCUCCAACUCCUCCUUCCGCCUCUUCAUCGCCUCCAUGUAAUCCCUGUGCCCCUCCUCCAUCAUCUCCACGAACUUAUCCUUGAUCGCCAGCAGCGGAUCGCGGUCGACGAGCUCCCCGAGCUCGUCGUAGGCCUCGCGCAGCAUCGCCGUCUUGAUCCCGCCCUUGAGCGAGACGUAGAAGAUGCCGGGGUGGCGGGUGAAGGCGCUGGCGAAGGCGUUGGAGAGGCGGAACUCGUCGCAGAACUUGCCGAGGAUGGGGACCGCGGCGCGCUUGUGGAGGGUGAGGGAGAGCAGCUCGUGGAGCAACCCCACGGCGCGCUUCUCCAUCUCGCGCGAGGCCGGGUGGAGGGCGGAGGCGUCGGCGUAGGGGGAGAUGUAGGGGAGCUCGAGCCAGUCGCGCGCCCACUCGCGCAUCUCCUUCUUGAGGUAGAAGCCCCUGGGGAGGCGGACGGCGAAGUUGGGGCGCAUGCGGACGCCGGUGAGCUCGGACUCGGCGUCGGCGCGGGCCUCGACGGCGGAGCGGGCGUAGGAGUGGUCCCAGGCGACGAGCUCGACGAAGCAGGGGCCGUGGCCGGGGUGGCCGGAGAGGCGGAGGAGGUCCGGGUGGGCGGGGACGAGGGAGGUGAGGAGGUCGUCGGGGAAGCCGAAGUCGCGCUUGACGCAGAGGAGCUUGUCGGCGGGGAGGGCGCGGUGGCGGGACAUCAUGAGGAGCUUGACGAGCUUGGCGAGGAGGAGGGGCUCGUGGAGGGAGAGGAGGCGGUCGCGGAGGGCGAGGAAGGAGAGGAGGGAGGGGGACGGGCGGAGGAAGGGGACGGCCGGGGAGGGGGAGGAGGGCCGGAUGCGGUCCGGGUAGAGCUCGAAGAGGUUGGGGUAGCGGCGGAGGAAGGUCGGCACGCGGAGGGGGAGGCGGAGGCGGGGGCGGCGCUUCUCCAGGUAGCGGAGCGGGAUGCGGACGGCCGGCUACCGCGAGAACCUCCCGGAUCGCACGCGCCCAGCAGAGGCCGUAACCGCUUGUCCGCUCGAUGGCCGAGUCCAGCGCGCGGGUCCCGCCCCCCACGGCACCUUCAGGCUCGACACCCCUGCGUCGGAGACACACACACCGUUUCGCGCGCCCUGCCUGCUGCUGCUGCUGACCGCUGACCGAGCGUCUGUCAGGGACGAGAAGAGCGACGAGGACGAGGGCAUGGCGCUCUCUGUCUCUGUCUCUCUCUCUUCCGUUUCGGCUUCUGCUCAUGAAGCUGCUGAACCAAGCACAUGAUACGUGAUUAUACGCACAUAUAUUUAUGUAGACAAUAUUAUUGUUAUAUGACAAAAUUUUUGAAUGCGAAUAACACCCAAACCAACCGUGAAGGCGUUAAGUAAUAAUAUAUUAUUAGUCUAAUAAGUAGCAAAAUUACAGAAAACAGCCUCCCUACAAAUCGCGAAAUCCGGCAGAUCAAAGGAAGCCUUUGGACCAGGCUCCUAAAACUAGCAGCAGGUACAUAGCCACAAGUAACAAAUGAAUGUAUACAACAAUAUAUAACCAAAAUCUGGCCUCACAGUUUUCACUACGACUAAUUUGAAGAAGGAGAAGAAGAAGAUCAUCUGCUUCCCAAAAUUGAAUUAAAUUAUGAAAUACAACAAGUUUCCUCCUCCAUUAUUAGCCACGAAGAUACACAAUAGUUAUCCUACUUUGGCUUCACGAUCAACUCUGUUGUUAUUCCGCUUCUGCCGCAGAGAUUCAUCCUGAGAAACAGAGAACAAAACUACUUGUUUAUAAAGUUCACGAAUUAGGCUACUACAACAAUCACAUCGAGGAAUGAGAAACGAAACAAUGUGGAUUUGAAUGGCUUCUACCUUAAUACAGACGUAAAUAUAAUGAACAUCUGGGUUCGAACCGAGAAGUGCAGCCACAGAGGUUCCAUCUUCGUUUAGCCGCAAUGGUUUGGUUAGUUCCCAACUUUUCUGCUCCGGACUUCUGUCCAAUCUGUCUACAAUACCCCCAAAUAUAUUCAUCAGUUACAAUUCUAAUUAACAUAAGGAGACAGUACUAUGUCCAGUGUAAACAUUGAAAGAAGGAAAUAUUGCAUAUUAAAAUGGUGGUGAGAACCGCCUCUGAAGAGCUACAGCGGGAUGCUUCUCUGGUGGCAGUUCACACCACCAGUUCAUAGCAUGAACUUCGUACAAAGAAACAUCAUACAGAAACAUCUGGGAAGAUCAACACAACAACAAAAGCCCUGAUUUAAACCUUACAUUCACAAACAAAAAAAAAAAUAAGCACUUCAAAAAGUUAUUCGCCAUAAUUAAAUUACGAAACCAAGAAACUAGCUUCCCAAAAUUAUUGCAGGUAAAUUUCCAGCUAAAUGAUUCUGUUGAAUAAAUUCUGUUCAUAUCUUCGACUUUCCAAUUGACUGCCAUUUUAAUAACAGUGCCAUACUGAAAGGUCAUGGUAGAGGUAAGUCAAACUUCUUACAUUGAUUGAUUUGAUAUGGUCCAUAUCAUGAAGCUUCUCAUUUUCUAUGAUUUACCUAUUAUUCCUUGCAGCUUAUUAAAUAUCAUCCAAAUAGUAAUAUAAUUAUGUGAACAAUACAUCACUGUAACAUGUCUGCGACUGUAAUAUGUUUUAACAUUACUUUUGUUCAGAUGGAGUACCAUCUUAACACAUAAGAGAAAAUUUUGUCUACUCCAACUAAUCAAAGCAUAUUCAAUAGAGAAAACUACAACAUUGACAGCAGAAAUAGAAACAUGAAGCGGACAUGGAGCUUGAGUCAUUGAAAUGAAAUUUUUAAAAAAAGGAACUAGAAAAAUUACAAUGAGAAGCAAAUAUAUACAGAUAAUUGGCCUCACGAUUUUUCUCGGACAAAAGGCCACAGCACACGUAUCUAGAUACUGAUGCAGUAUAAAGAAGAUAAGGUAAAUAUCAAACCAAAAAAUUGGAUAUUCCAUAAGUAAUGAGAAUCCACAAAUUGAUCUAAAAGAAGUAAACAAGCACUAGAAGUGGUGUUGACUAACCUAUUACAUGCAUAUUUAUUGUCCACGUGUCCAAGUUCUUCAGUACACACAAUCGAUAACUUGGAUCUCCAUACGUAAUCUAUAUCACAAAAAUAAGUCAGAUAAGUUGGAGAGACAUGUUAUUGCCUAGUCUUGAAAGAAACACCAAAUAAUAAGGAACUACUUGAUAGAAGAGAAAAGCACCAGGAUGUAAACUCCUUUGUCCUUGAGAACUCUGUUAGAUGGUAGAGAAAAGUUGACAGAAGUAAGAUAAACUAAAAUCUAAAAGAGAACAAAUCACAGGGUCCAAACAAAACAUAAAACAACAACUAAGACUUCAAUCUCACGUAUGAUAAACAUCAGUUCUUGCAUGAUGAUUUAGUACCUGGCAACCUCCUCCAGCAUCUUAGUUGCAUUUUCAUGUGCAUUAUGCCCACACUAUAAGUUGACAGAAUGGAUUAAUUAGCAAUGUUCCAAAUAAAAAUGCAGAGUAUACUAGCCAAUUAUAACUCACCAUGAUGGAGUCGAGAGUUCCUGCAAACAAAACAUAAAUUAGGCCUAAGAAUCUUAUAUGAACAGGUUUCAAGAUCCAAGGAGGUGUUGUCAUAAACUGACAUAUACAUAACUAAGAAGAAAGACGUUACAAAAUUUUCCAAUAGGGAAAUAAACCAGAUAUCAUAAGCUAUUCAAUUGGUAGAAAAAGACGCUUGAGCACCUUUUAAAAACCCAUGAAUGCAGUAAGUACCUUUAUCAAUGACACCAUCAAACGAAUUAGAUUCAAAACCAGCCAUGUCUCGAACGUCCAUUUUAAGAUCUGCCAAAACAGUUUGGGAAAAGAAAUAGUAAGUACAAAAAUUUUCAUAGAGAAUACUCAGGGUGGUUGUAACAUUCACACCGAGAAAGCCCGGAGAGAGAGAGAGAGAGAGAGAGAGAGAGAGAGAGAGAGAGAGAGAGAUACACUUUAGGGCUGGCUUAUCUUUGUAUUUUUGUUGCAUGGCUUCAAUCACCACUGUAGAUAUAUCUAUGUUAAUGAUAUCUUGAUAUCCAUCAUCAACCAUGCUUUCCCCCAAAACUGUUUGAUUUCCAGAUCAAGCAAGCACAUUAUAUAAAAAGCAGGUUAUGCAUCCUAUGCAAUAGCACGUAAAGUUUGACAGUUGGAAGCAUUUUAACUUGAAACGGGAUAAUUUUGUAAAAGCAUAACUGCAAUGGAUCAUAUAUAACAUGUACUAUAUUGAAUGCAAUAAAAUUGUCACAACUCAUGCACCUCAACUCCGCAGGCAUGCGAAAGACAGUGUCAGUAGAUCAUCAGAAACCUUCACACUAGUUCUUGGUAACUGACAUCACAAUUAAUGAUGCAGACGUUCAACAACUAACUUGUUGGGACUUUGAUCCAAAACUCUAUUUUGGGACAGGUAAACAGUGGUGCAAAUCCAGUACAUACAUGAUUAGCAACAAAAUUAUUAAAAUAAAAUCUCUAUUUCAAAUUAGGAUUAUAACUUCCACUGGGUAGGAACAUCAAACUAUACAGCAUAUCUGCUAACUAGAGCUACUAAGCAUUCGCCCCAUAACCUCAACUAGAAAUGUGCUUGUUUCAGCGAUUCGACAACCACGACAUUGCCAUUUCAGCUACUCACUAAUUCUAUGUCCGGAACAUUUAUUACACCAUAGUUGCAAUUACAAACUAGAUUGACUAGCAUCCACGAAAUCACAUAAUCAGUUACAAUUAUUUUUGCAAGGAUAACUUGAUCUCCGAGUCUAAAUCCACACGCGCACACAUUAUCCAAGAGAUCACAUGCUAGUGCAGCAGCACAAAGAAAUCACAAAUUAAGCUACAAAUCGGGAUAAAUUCAUCUACAUACUAAGUAGAUCAGAUCAUAGGGUUUCUCAUCGUUUCUCAAUCUCCUUAAUCCGAUCUAAUUUCUCCCCGAACCCCACCCCCCCUUCACCCAAAACACGCACACACCGAGAUCCAAAUACACAUCCAAAUGCUCCAAAACCAAAGACGAAGAAGAAGAAGAAGAAGGAGAAGAAGAGGAAAGGGACCUGAGUUGCCGCAACCGACGAGGAGGAGGCGGUGGGAGCGGCGGAGGUAGAGGUCGAAGAGAGGGGAGAGGGGCGCAUACUUUUGGUACCAGUCGAAGGGGCCCCCGUCCUUGCGGUAGCGAUCGUCCCAGUAUGCGGUCUCCCCGUAUGAGUGCGUCCCUAAGCUCGACGACGACGACGACGACGACGACGAUCCCCCGAGCGUCAUUGCUCGCUCUCUCCGCCCCUUCGCCACAAAAAGGUCUAAAAUGUAACAAUUACACCACCUCAUCUAACUUACUAAAUAAUUAAAUUACUUUUACGGAGUUCAUCCACCCCAUCAUUAUUAAUCUCGAUAAAAAAAUAUUUUUUUUAUUAUAUUUUUUUCGAAAGGAGUUUUAGAAAUUGAUCCGGAGCAGCUGCAACACAAAAAUCACCUCCCUCCACUCCGCCGUUAUUCUACGGUUCCAGUUGCGCACGCAUCGGGAGGUGGAGUUUUAUUUCGUGGACCCGGUCCAUUGGACCGGGACGGAGAGCGUUUCGUUCUGAUUGGUCCCCGUUCGCGGAGAACUUCUGGUGGGCUGGGAGAGUGGGCCCGUUACAAUGUGAGUCCAUGUACGGCCCAUGAACCUUGUUUUCGAAAGGCCCGUGUGAAAGAUUUUUUUUUUUUCUUUUUUCCGUUAUAUGGACAAAAAUUAUUAAUUAAUACUUUUUUUUCACCAUAUUUUUAUAUUUAAAUAAAUAAAAUAAUUUUGAUUUUGUAUUCUGCAUUGUACCCAAAAAAAAAAAAAAGCUUAAUUAUUACUCUCCUCAGGCCCACAUAGAUUUUGGGCCGGAUUUAUCUAAAUGAGCUCUCACUGGUUUCUGGGCCUUAUCGGAAAAAGGGCGGGUCCAAUAAUCAACUUUCAUUACAUCCGCCGUUGGCUCAUCCUCAUCAACCUAUCUCGACCGUCCAUAUACUCCUACGAAUCCCUUCGCACCUUUAUUUAUUCACCUUGUUAGUAUUUACACACGCCACCUUUUUCGGCUUUUCCUCCUCGCUCCUUUGGUUUUUUUUUUUUUUUUAAAAAAGGAAAAAAAAGGAGAAAAAAAAUCCCACUGUGAAAGGGUUUUAGAGCUCUCUUCAAUCCAUCUUUUAUUUUAAUGGAGGAGAUUAAUGCGUUGGGUUUUCCCAAUGAGAACAAUAUUAGAGUGCCACAAAACCGGCUUCGGAGGUAAAUAAUUAAUUAAACCCUUUUUAAAAAAUUUGGCUUCUUACCAUUUAUAAAUAAAUAAAGUGUCUCUUCCCUUUGCUUCAGUUCACUGGUAAGCUUAAUUUGCUUACUUUAUUAUUGUGAAAUGUGUUGGGUUUUUAUUCCUAUUGGUACCCUUUGUAGCACUUUCUUUAUUUUGUGAUUUAAUAAUCUUUUGUCCCUGGAUUUUGUAUUAUUUUGCAUUUUAUUGUCGUUUUAUUUGAAUGGAUAUUUAUAGUACAUUUAUAUUUUACAUUCAACAACCGUAGAACUUUCGUUUUAUUACAAACCCUAAUAGUUGAGAUUUAGCCAUAUUCAACAUUUGUUUGACUAAACUCAUAUUAUUUCUUUUUGUGAAAACCAAAGUUCUACGGUUGUUGAAUGUAAAAUAUAAAUGUACCCUUAUGUAAUAACUUAAAUUUUUAAAUAACAAUAUAUAUUCAACAUUUGUUUGACUAAACUCAUAUUAUUUCUUUUUGUGAAAACCAAAGUUCUCCGGUUGUUGAAUGUAAAAUAUAAAUGUACCCUUAUGUAAUAACUUAAAUUUUUAAAUAACAAUAUUUAUUUUAUAUUAUUUUAUAUAGUAUCAGUAUACGAAGUUUUAAAUUCAAAUUCUAUUAAAAUUUCAAUUUUACACAAAAAAAAAAAACUUGAGGAAAAUUGUUGAAACUUUUUCAGUAGCUAGUAUCUGUCAACUAAAAUUCACAAUUUUUUUUAGCUGAAAAGCAGUUGGUAACCUGAAAUCGGAAUCAAAUGAAACCUCUAAUUUAAAAUACAAAUUAAAUAAAAGCUAAAAUGGUGUAAACACAAAUAUUUAGCCUUGGAGAAAAACAUUAUAGAGAGGGUCCUACACCUAUGCGGUGGCAUGUGGGGGCUAAACGUUGGUCAUGCCCUCUAAUACUUCUUUUCCAAAAAUUAAUUAAUUAGGUGUCUAUGUCAAAAUUGCAAUAUGCUGUUAAACCGAUUCCCUGAUGCUCUUUCAAACUUCUCAUGCUGCAGGAUGAUGAUCAAUGGCAACGAAAGACUAAACACGAAAGCUGCAUUCGCGUCCUUCAGCCGCGCGCUCGCCAACGCGCUCUUUGGCCUGUGGACGACGGACCUGGUGAAGCCCCGCGAGCUCCGCCGAGCGACUGCCACAGUGCUGAUCCUCGGGGUGGCUCUGUCGGCUGCAGGCACUGCAAUUUCGCUAUCCCUUCUUUUCAUUCGUGGUAGAAGAGGGCGGCUGAUGUGCCGGCAAUUUCGGUGGCUCAGCGGCUUCGCCACCAUGGUGUUGUAUGCCACGUUAGUCAUCCGUGGUUUCAUUUUGGUUCUUGCUGCGCUAUCUCUUCGUUAACUGAUUAUUAACCCCUGCAUACAUACAUGUUUGCUAGAAGUGGCCACUAUGGGAUUGAUGUUGCUUGUUGAGAAUUUCUUUUGUUUUUUGGGGUCAAAUAUUGCUGUUAGGAUGUUUCUCUUCAUGUUUUAAGGCUUAAGUUGCUACUUCUUGUGUAUGUACGUGCUUUGCUAGUUGUUAAAUUUGAAGUUUUUUUUUUAAUUUUUGGCCAAAAUCACUUCGAUCUUAUUUUCAUCUUCUCAAACCAGUGAUUAGAUCUAAAUUCUAUACUCUACAACGGCCAAACUAUGUACUAGAAUCUGAAUAGUAAAGUAUGGAGUAGAAAUGGACAUAUUUUGAAUAUUUUGAAUUUGAGUUCGAGUUGCGAAACGCCCGGAUAAAAGUAUAUGGGUGAAAGUAAAUUCCCAAAAUUCAAUUUAAUUCAAAAAAUAAUAAAAAAAUUAGGUAACACGGCUAAAUAUUAACGGUUAUGGUUAUAUUUGCAGCCAUAUAUGGAGUGGUUAAUGGGCCUAUUGGACCGGGCCAUGGUUUGGGCCUUUGGGCCCAUUUUACUCUCUGGGCUCGGUGGUGCGUGGUGGUUUCAUCGCCGAAUUCGGGAUGUAACCGGCAAAGCGGCUUUUAGAAUCGCCGACUUUAUUUUGUAACGAAAAUUUUUGCUGGUUCACCAAGCGCUAGCUCUGUUACUUUAAUCUUACCUUCUAAGCUUUGUGAGAAGAACAUCUAAAAGUAUGAACCCACCUCUCAAAAGCUUCAUUUGUUUACAUAGACAUUGAUAUAGGUUUGUGCACAUCGAUCAAAUUAGUGAAGCGGUAUGUGUCCAUUGUUUAGUCAUUAUUUGUUGUUUGCUUUGGAACUCUUUUAGGACUACUUUAUAAUUGAGCUGCUAUAUGCCUCAUUUUUCAUGUGUAAUUAAAGGUUUACUUACUAACCAUCAUUUGUGUUAACCACCUAACAACAAUCACUAAAGAAAAAAACUUUUGUUAGAUAUAUAUCGGAAAGUACAUUGUUCAGUAAAGUUUGGGGUUGCCGCAAAGCAAGAGACAAAAAAUGAUUACGUAUCUAAACUUACUAUACUAAACUUAGGAACUGCAUUUGGCUUAGAUAAAGAAAUAGGCACUAAAUAAUUAUAUUAGUCCAUCUUCUUUGAGGUGUUUUCGAUCUAAAACGUUCUCAGAUUAUCCUACCCAAAGUAAAUUAUAUGGAUCAUUUCAUCUCCCACUGUGCUGUGAGAUGCGCGUCACUAAACAUUCGAAAAGCUAUAGAGAAGCAUAAACCGCUUAUUUAUAACUUGAGAUUUUAUAUAGCAAGACGAGGGGGAGAGAAGCUAAAUGAAACAAAAGCUAUAUAUAAUAAUUAUCAGAAAUAUAGCUUUUGAAGGAAAUUUUCAAAAUGAGACCAUGCCUUGGGCAUGGCCCAACCUCCACAAGGGUUGAUUAACAGCAAAACCAUAUGUUAAAACUGCAUGAGACCAUCCCAAGAUUCUCUUUUGAGCUUUUUUUUUUUUUUACCCCCAAAAAAAAACUGUAUACUCUUUAAUUUGCAAGAGAUAACCCUUGCAUGUAUUAGAAUUAAUCAUUUCCGUGGAGAUUUUAAUGACAUUUUUUUAAGUUAUAGUACAAAAGUUAACAAAAUCUAGACACACUGUAUGAAAUACUUAAAUGGGAGGGGUUUAUUACUCACUACUCUUUGGUACAUUGUUCCAUGACUUGGCUAGUCUCGUAUCUACUAAUUAGAGAGUCUAGCUAUGGUAAAGUUCUUUGUACUACAAAGUAUAAGUAUAUGGUAAAAACCUAAGGUAAAAGGUAAAAAUUAUCCUGAUUGUAAUAUAAAAUAAUUUUCUUAAGGUUCUUGGCAAGUAAACUUCCUCCCUUUAGCUAGGCUUUGAGACACUAGAGAUACAUUUAUUAAUUAUGUAUAAACUGAUACCUUAUCUCUUAGCAUAUUAGUAUCUAUCUUUUGCUAUUUGCAACUUAAUGCAUUCUUUAUCAAUUAAUCUGGUUAAUUUACUCAAAACUUGAAAAGGUUUUAACAUGCAUACAGCUCAAUUAUAUAAAAGAUGCAACCCCAUUAGUAAUCAUUUCACCAAUUUCACAAAAUAUUCCCUGCUACAACCAAAGUCCAUUUGCUUUAUUUAAUUUCUUCUUGUAAUCAUUAAAGAAGUACAAAACAUAUUUUGAUGGAAUAUUGUCUAAAAGGCUCACAUAUAUAGGGGAUUACUUAACUUUACCCUACACCUACUAGAAGAAUACAUUUUCAAAAGGCCUCUAUAUGGGCUGUCCUUUUAAAAAUAGGCAUAGACCAUGAAAACCAUUUUGUAGCAUGCAAUGCAUGAAAUAUUGUUUGAGAUUCGCAUAGAGUGCUAUCCAACAGUUGGACAGGUACACUAUCCUACAAUAUAACAUAUCUUGUUAACUGUUCAUGGUUAAGUGUUAAUUAUUUACCCAAACUUAAUCACUGAAUAAGCUCAAAUUCUGAUAUUUUUCAGAUAAAUAAUA
rnacentral:lncRNA from 1 species